rnacentral:lncRNA from 1 species
CCACCACCUCCUGACCUUCAUAACCACCACGGCACCACCAUACAUAUAACCUCCACCACGACCAGCAACAGCAACACCACCUCCAACAAACCUAUUUCUAUUUCAAACAUAACCAGCACCACCACUUCCUAACCUCCACUUGAACCUACAUCUGUUGCAACUUCCCCAUCAUCUUCUUCUUCAAUUCGUCUUCUUUGAGUUCUUCAUCUUUGUGUGCUUUUACAAUACCUCACCACCCCAUUAGACCUAUUAAUUAACAAAAAUUAGGUCCACCACCAUCUCCUCCGGCGGCAAAAAUAGUUCUACCACCACCAUUGAAAGGAAGAAAAUCAACAAUUGAGAGAGAGAAGAAUACAGUGGAAGGAGAUAUUGACAUCAUCAAUAAUUUCUUUUUGUUGUUGUUGUUCUUUUUUUUCUUCUUCAUCUUCACUUUUAUCUCUGGCUGGCUCUGCAUUCUUUAGUCAUCAUUUGUUACAGUUUAUAUUAUAUAUAUAUACUAGCAGGUAAGGCCCGGGCUACGCCCGGACUGUGUUACUAUGAAAAUGCAUUACCAGAAGAGAGAAUGUGGUAAUAAAUGGUUAAGAAUGGAUGUGGUAAAUGGUAAUAGAUCAGGGACUGUGGGUGAGAGGGGCGAGUCAGGAAUGGCUGCUUUGACCUGUUGGACUUCUUAGGUUGACUAUUUUACCCUUUAGAUACCUUCAAAGUUACAAAACUAACACCAGCUUAGAGUUUAUAGGAAGCAGAAUUCCUAAAUACUGAAUGAAGAGAGAGCCACGUGGAUGGCCUCAUAGGGCUCGAAUCCGCUCAGCCUUUAUAGUAUAGUAGAGAUGGGUAGCUGAUGAGAAUUAAUGUUUAAAAUCAUAGGUGAAAAAAUCGUUUUUGCCGACCGGAUAUUUACGAAAUAUUCCGGUUUUUUGGAGAUCGGAUCGGUACGGCAUACGGCAUAUAAACGGAAUUUUAAACACCCCAUGUCGGUCAGCAUUUAUCGGAUAUUCACGAAAUAUUCGGCAAAAACCGAUAUUUAUCGAAAUUUAUGAAAUUUUCGAUUAUAAAAUUAACACAUUUAUUUUUAAUCCCCCCGAACUAGAAUUUUCGAUGAGAUUAUCAAAAAAAGGUCCAAAAGGCACUAGACGUUUGGAAACUUUCACGACGAACUUCAUGGCCCUCAAAAAAAGGUCGGACGUGCAGUCAGCCGAUACAUUAAUGUCGGUUCAACAAUACUCGAGAUUUCCUAUCUUUGAAUCAUUUGCUCCGUAUUGUAUGGAUCAAGAUGCAUAUGAUAUGCAUAUUGACCAAUUCAGGUCGUACGAGCAAACAAUGUUAUGGAAAUAUUACUGUACUGAGUUCGUCCCCACACGUAUGCGACUCGAAGCUCAUCGGUUUGACAUGGGGCGUCUAUCAUUCUGGGGUUAGCAUGUCUUUUAUUUUGAUUAUUAAAAUAAAACUAUGGGUUGAUUUGUAAUGAGGUUGUUUGUGUUUAGUUCUUGUAUUGUAAACAUAUAAAAGUUCUAUGAAUAUCCGCCCGAUAUUUACGAUUUUUUCACCUAUGAGUAAAACUAUCUUGUGUAAUAGUUCCGUCUUAGCUUCCUUGUAUGAUUUGUCGUGUGUUUAAUUUGUAAUGUAUGUUUUUCUUUAAUUAUAAGUUUAUAUAUCGAAAUCAGAAGAAAAACAUGAAAAGUGCAGAAAACCUCCCAAUUUUCCGAAUUUUUCGCGAAUAUUCGAGAAAAAUUCCGGUACAUUUGAAUUUACCAAACCUCAAAAAUCCGACAUGGGAGGUCGGAUAUUCACGGAAUAAUCCGGUUUUUUGGAGAUCGGAUAUUCGGACUAAAACGAUUUUUUCACCUAUGGUUUAAAUGAUAAAAAGGUAUUUUUGUCUAAGAUACAUAAAAUUUGGUUAAACAUUAGUCAAUAGCUUGGUUUGAUGGCUUCAAAUAGAAUUAUGGGUAGGGGUGGCAAUCGUGUCAGGUCGUGUCGGGUUCGUGUCGGGUCUUAACGGGUUGAUGUGUUUUUUAGCUUGACCCGAACCUGACCUGUGACAUGUAUAAUUUUAUUUUUUUAAACCCAAACCCGACCUGCUAAUUAAACAGGUCGGGCCGACCUGUUUAAACCCGCUUCUACAACAUUUUUUUUUUCCCAAGCUACUUCCAUUAAUAAUUUGCAGAGUAUACAAGUUUCACAGAAAGGAAAAAUAAUUAAGCUCAUAUCUAGGAUCAGAUAGCAUGAAUCUGUUGCCCUUCAUUAUAUUCUUCAUCAAACUAAGCAUAACAGACCAAAAUCUAAAAUUUCUCAAACAGUAACAAACUACUUUAAUAUUAAAUUAAAGUAAUUGUUAAUUUGCAUAUGUAUACUAACAAUCAUAGUUGGGUGAGUUUAUUCUAAAUUCUAAGAGAUUAUCCAAUAGACUCUUCACUGUUAUAGUUAACAUACAAACAAAAUAUUAUUAACAGGUUAAUGGGUCGACCCGACCUGUUAGUGGUCAAACCUGUACCUGACCUGCUUAAUAAACAGGUAUAACAAGUUCGGGUCAAAAUGACUUGAAAACCCGAUAAAGUUAAACCCAAACCUGUUUAUCUCGGGUCGGGUUCGUGUCGGGUUAACAGGUCGCGGGUUAUUUUGCCACCCCUAAUUAUGAGGUACCUUUAAUGAUUUUUAAAUCUGGAGGUAUCUCAAAGAGUGCUAACUUUUCCGGGGGUAAUCUCUAAAUAGCUCUUUUCAUUAUGUAUGUAUAACCAGUUGACUGCACUACCAUUUCAUUCAAUUGGUUUAUUCAUAUUUUUCAUUCUUAUUACCUUUUGUGUGGAUAGGGAAUUGUUAUGUCAUUGGACGAUCCACGCCCAUCAGUACGGAAACUAAACUUUGCCGAUUCCUAGAUUGUGCAAUGUAAUUUUCAUCAUCAAUAUUAGUUUCUUACGUCAACCUUUGUCUAUGUCUGGUUAAGAAUUUUUUUAUAUAAAACCUUUAUUAUGGACACACAAUUAAUUCUGACUUUUUUUGUUGAAUAUUUCGUGCACGUUUGAAGAAUCAUUUUUUUAAUCAAAGAAUAGCAGCUCAUAGUACACCAUACCACGAAUUUGGUUUAGGUGCCUCUUCCGGGACAACCAUUGACAAACAAGGUGAACAUCAAGAACAUCAAGAACAUCAGAACUGUGAGUGCAAAGGAAAACUGUGAGAACCACAGUAAGCUGACUGUGAGUAAUAGGAGAACUCUUUCUAUGCAAGUUGUUAGAGUUGUUAGCAAGGACUUCCUUGGCCCAACAAUCGAGCUUCGCAACAAAGAAGAGUACUCUACUCUGCAACCUACUAAAAGUCUACAACUACUAAAGGCCAUCACAUCAACCCCCUUUUCUACACAAGUUUCUGUUCUCUCUAUGCCCUCAAACUUCACUAUUUUAUCUAAUAUUUUUCUCUAAUUUGAUUAUGGUUUCCAACUAAUGCAGGAUCUAGCAGGGGCACUAUCGUGAGUUAUUGUUUCUCUUUGAAUACCAGCUAUUGUUUUAAGCUUUCUGCAGAGAGGUCUAAUCCAAGCACAAGCAUACCUUACAAGAUUUUUACCUGCAAUACGGCUACAAACCAACACUUGAUUAUAUCUCUUAUUCUCCCCAUAAUCUUACUUUCUGACACAACUCAUCACUCUUUCAACAAAUCCUGAGUUAUUUUUUCUUUUUAGGCUCAAUGGAUCGCAAUCACAACCGUUGGAUACUAGAUAUUUUACAAGAAAACCUACCCACUAUUACUGUUUUACCACAAAAUAUCCUGUUUCUACACCUUAUCCAUUUCUUACACCCAAAAUUACACAGACUCCAAACAGUUUUCUUCAUACUAAUGGAUGUUCAUGACCUAACUAAUGCCAUCACAACAACAUUAACAAUUCCCAGCCAAAACAUGAGACUUCAAAUUCCUGUUGAGAUGCUUUAAGCAAAUGGCAACCUUUGGAAUCAUACCCUGAUCUUCACCUUGCUUCAUGGUGGCCAUCUUAACCCCAAUCAGGUCAUGCGAGCCACCAAAAUCAAGUGGAGAGUGACUGAAACUUCUGACAUGGUUCGAGCAGGUCACAAUCGUUUUGUCUGUCGUUUCCAUAAUUCCAACGACCAGGAGAGAGUUGAAGAGAUGCAACCAUGGACUGUGCUCAGUUUUCUGGUCUUGAUUGAACCAUUUUCAAUUGGGAUGGUGGCUGCUAGAGUAAAGCUUGAUUCAAUGCCAUUAUGGAUAAGCUUUAAAGGUCUAGAAUUGGAACAUCUGCAUGCUGAUAUUGUUAGGAUGAUCGGAACGGCAGCUGGUUAUGUCACAUCUGUGCUUCCUAUUGGAAUCAUUAAUUCCAAGGACUGCUGAAGGAUUUCGUGCACGAGUAAACGUGAAUGUUCACCUACCACUAGUCCAGGGGUAUCACAUCAACACUCUGGUCAAUGGUGACGUUUGGGUAAGCUUCAAGUAUAAUAACUUGCCGGGUCUGUUUUGUGGCCUCUGUAAUAGAGUGGGUCACAUCCGCAACAACUGUAACUUCCCACUUCAAGUUGAGAUGCCUGCACAAUCCUCGCAGCCAACUAGGGCUCAACAGCUGGUGGGAAGCACUGAUGGUGGUGAUCGAAAUCAACAGUUGGUGGUUUGGCCUCAUGAACAAGGAAUUAUUCCAGCGACGGAGAAGAUUCAGGAUCAGGGUUCAGAGAUGAUGCAAAACAACUUGGGCUGGGCUGAAAAUUUAGGCCAAGAUGGAAUGGAUACUAAUUGUCAACCGGCUUCGCAAAAUUGGGCCAAUAUGGGUCAUUUAAAUACAAAUGAGGCCACGUCUGCCUGCAAUCAAAAUACCCAUAUAGUUAGCCAAAUUGACUUGGGCUUAACUAUUCCUGGAGGACUAGCUUGGGACCUGACUAUAGGCCCAACUGUUGUGACACAGCCCAUUCAAGCUGAACCUUCACUAGCCCCAUUCCCUACAGCUAGGGUUCAUCGUGAAGAGAUUGAAGGGAAGCAACAGGGAGCUCUGAAAAUUUAUGAUGUGGGAGAUGAUGGAGUUCCCCAACGUCGAGGAAGGGGUCGGCCAGCUGGGUCGCCAAACAAAACUCAGAAAGGGUCAAAAGAUGCAAGAGGAAAAGGAAAAAUUGAGCAGGAAAAUACUGAUGCAACCAAAAUUGGGAGUAAGAAACGCAAAAUUAUAUGCAAUAAUUCGCCUACUGAGAUGAUAGGGUAUCCACGACAAUUGGAUACUCUUGGUGUUAUAACUGAUCCGAAAAAUCUUGAUCUGGUGGCUCAAAUGAGAGCAAAUCCUGUUCUUACCACAUUGCUUAUGCAAAGGGGAGCCAUUAAUCCCACAAUUGUUCGUCGUCUCACUGCUCUACUAACCGAUCCACCCCCUGCCCCUGCAAUUUGGGAUCCUUCUUCUCCAGUCUCAACUCUGCAAGGUCCUUUUCAUAACCAUAUUGAGGUCCUAACUGUGGAGCCUCUCAUGGUUUCUCAAGGAGCAAGAAACAAUGAUAUUAUCCGUGCAUAUGAAGGGGGACAAGAAACUGGUAUUCAAAGAAACAAUACUCAUGUUGACGGCACCCUUCUAGCUCCUUCUAUAAGUGGAAAUCAUAUUCGGGUUAGUUAUACCUCUUCCUAUCUUAUCAUCCCCAAUUCUACUGAUACACUAUUUUCUUUUUGUGCUGCCAAUUCACACAUAACUCUCACUGUCAACAUCCACUUACAAGCACACUAUAACAAUAUUACUAACAUUAAUCCUUUGCAUAGCUUCUUACACCUCUCCACCAUUAAUUUACACUGCACUAUCUACUGCUCGAUCUACUGCUUCUGUUUGUCUUUGAAAACCUGUGAAGGAUUCCCUAGACGCAUUCAAAAACUGGUUAGAUCUGUUUAUAAUUCGGCACCAUUAUAUCACUGCUUUUCUGUUAAAUUUGUUGGGCUUUGUUUUGUUGAGACCUUAAUGUCUAUCCUUACUUGGAAUUGUCAAGGGUGUGGUAAUGAUCACACCCAAAGAGCCUUACUAAACAUGAUAAAAGACUAUAGGCCAGACAUAAUUUUUUUAUCUGAAACUAAGUCUUCCAAAUCUGUGAUAGAUAACAUGAUAAGACUUACUAGAUACCCUAAUCAUCACUAUGUGGAGUCUAUUAAUCAUGCUGGGGGUCUUCUCUUACUUUGGAGUAGUCAAGUUAAUCUUGUUGUUUUCUUCUCUAACAAGUACAUAAUCAACACCUUUAUCCAGUUAACUGCUGAUCAAACUAAGAAGUUUACCUUUACUUUCUUUUAUGGGAGUCCUUACACAUCCCUUAAAAGCUUUAGCUGGACCUUUCUUCAUCAAGCUUGUGAUACCUCCAAUCAUCCUUGGAUGGUUAUGGGAGACCUAAACUCAAUUCUUCAUGAGAGAGAAAAAUGGGGAGGCCUGCCUUUUGAUAGGAAUGAGAGUUUGUUUGCGGCUGAUAUUAUUCAAGACCUUGGUCUAUAGAUUUAGGGUUUGCUGGUCAACCUUUCACCUGGUGUAAUAAGAGGGCUGGGUCCCUCAACAUAAGGGAAAGACUAGAUAGAAGCCUUGUCACCCCCCCCCCAAUUGCAAAUCAUGUUUCCUGAUGCUAGAGUGACUCACCUUCCCCUGCCAUUGCCUCUGACCAUUGCCCUCUUCUUCUCACCCUUAAUAUUGUUCCGAUUAACAGUCCUAAACCCUUCAAGUUCCAUAGUAUGUGGACCGGAGACCAGGAUUACAAUAGAGUCAUUAGCAUGGCUUGGGAUAGAGUCUGCUGUCCUCUGGAUUAAAAGUCCAUCUCUAACCACCUCUCUUCCACUAAAAAAGCUCUUGUUAUUUGGAAUAAAAGAGUCUUUGGGGACAUGUUCAAGAAAAUUGCCUUCCUCAAAUCCAAAAUUGUUAAUAUCCAAUCCCUGCCCUACACUCACUCUAAUAAACUUAAGGAAAAAUAUCUUAAUGAAGAAUUAGAUGAAACCCUUAAGAGAGAAGAAUUGUUAUGGCAACAAAAAUCUAGUGAUACUAUAAUUGCUAAAAGUGAUAGGAACACUAGUUACUUCCACAUAUCUACUUUGAUCCAACGAAAGAUAUCCCAAAUCUUCCUGGACCAUUUCAAAGGUAUCCUAGCUCCUAACAUCACACCUCUCACCAUUAAGCACACUGACACUAUCCACCUUCACUUUCCUACCUGUCUUUCCUCUCUGGACAAUGAAGACCUCUUAGCUACAAUCCAUAAUGAUGAUAUCAAGAGGCAUAUCUUCAGCAUUGGGCCUCUUAAAUCUCCUGGCCCUGAUGGGUUCCCUAGCAUUUUCUAUCAUAAAUCUUGGGAUGUUGUUCAUGAACUAGAGGCUCUUGUCCACAAUUUUUGGGAUGGAAAUUGUUCUAUUCAACACAUUAACAACACCAACAUAGCCUUGAUCCCUAAAUGCGACUUCCCUGCGAGUCUUGGUGACUUUAGGCCCAUAAGCCUGUGUAAUGUCAAUUACAAAUUAAUCUCUAAAAUCCUAGCUGAAAAAAUUAAAGCUCACCUCCCUCGUAUCAUUUCUCCUCUCCAAUGUGCCUUUGUUCCCAAAAGACAAAUAAAUGACAAUGUCAUCAUGACACAUGAAAUCAUUCACACUCUUAGGAAAAAAACUGGUUUGGGGGUCUUAUGGCUAUUAAGAUUGACAUGUCCAAAGCUUUUGACCACCUCAACUGGGAAUGCCUAAUCACCAUACUUGAGUCUAUAGGUUUUGAUAAAGAUUUCACCCACCUCAUCCACCAAUGUGUUUCUUCGGUCCAUUCCUCGGCCAUCCUUAAUGGUGUCCCUACUGGUUAUUUCAAACCAAGUUGUGGUAUUAGACAAGGUGACCCUCUUUCCCCUUCCUUGUUUAUCAUAACUAUGGAACUCUUGACUAGAAUGAUUAAGGAUAAGUGCACCCAAGGAAAAAUUCAUGGUAUUAAAGCCUCUAAGAAUAGCCCCGCUAUCUCUCACCUUCUUUUUGCGGAUGACAUCUUCAUUUUCUCUAGAGCUAAUCCUGCUGAGGCUAGAGAGAUCAUCUAAACGCUUAAUGAUUUUUGUUCUAUUUCUGGGCAAAAAAUCAACUUCUCUAAAUCGGGGGUUCUGUUUAGCGAUAACACCCCUCUCCACCAUCAGUUGUGCAUUUUAGACACCCUCCAAAUGAAAAAUCUUGACACUAAGGAGCUUUACUUGGGGAGUCCUCUCUUUAUGGGUGAAAAAAAGUCUGCUCUCUUCAAGUUCCUUAUCCAAAGAGUUGAAAAAAGACUUGCUGGCUGGAAAGGAAAAGUUCUAUCUCAAGCUGGUAGAACCAUCCUCAUAAACUCUGUUACCUCUGCUAUCCCUUCCUAUCAGAUGACUUGUUUUAAGAUCCCUAAAAUGAUUACUGAUAAACUUAACAAACUUCAAAGGGAUUUUUGGUGGGGUUCCAAAGGAAAUAACAAGAGAACCAUGCAUCAUCUGAACUGGGACCACUUGUGCCUUCCCAAGAAAUGGGGAGGCUUGGGAAUCAAAGACCUCGAGAAACAGAAUGAGGCCCUCCUUGCUAGGAUUGCCUGGAGACUAGCCUCCAACACUGGGAACCUGUGCUCUACCAUCCUUCAAACUAAGUACUUCUACAGAUCUCAAGCCCUCAAAAUUCAUAGCAACUCUACUCAUUCUUGGAUAUGGAGAUCCCUUUCUAACAUCAUCUCCAAAAUGCUGCCUCAUUACUGCUGGGAUAUUGGCAAUGGCUCUUCUGUCAAUCUCUGGUCUGAACCUUGCAUCCCUAGUUUGAAUUCAUACAAAGUUCCUUCCCCUAAUCCUGCUCCGACCAACAUCACCCCCACCACUGUUCAAAAUCUCAUUCUCCCUCACUCAAAUCUCUGGAAUACUGACAUGUUAAUCCAUUUACUUGAUAACACUACUAUUAGCCACAUUAAGAAUACUACUAUCAGAGGCUCUGACUCUGUUGAUAGACUAAGAUGGAUGGGUACUAAACAAGGAGUCUUCAGUGUUAAGUCCAUGUAUAGGCUGCUCACUACCUCUCUCCUCCCUCCCCAUAGUUUUGCUAAGCUAAAUCUAAGAAUCUGGAAGUGUAAGGCCCCCCCCUAGAGCUGUUCAAUUCACUUGGAAGCGUCUUAAUAAUUGUGUCCCCGCCAGAGAAAGGAUUGGUAGAUUUGUGCAACUCCCUGCCUAUAACUGCCCUAUGUGUAAUGCUCCUGUUGAGACCCUAAAACAUAUGUUGAUAGACUGCCCUUACACCAUGUCGGUUUGGUUUUUUAGUCGAAUGAAAUUCAAUAUCAGACCCUAUCAACAUUUAAGUGUUAAGGACUGGAUUAAGUUGUGGUUUUCCAAACCACCUAACUGUGUUAACAACCCUGAUUUUUGGAGCUCUUUUUGUGUUUUUGCUACUUGGGGUAUAUGGAAGCAUAGAUGUAUUAGAGUGUUUCAGAACAUUUACACAAGUCCAGCAAAAGUAGCUCAAUACAUUGAUUAUAAUGUUGCUAGAUACAAAUCAGCUAACAGUUUUGUUUCAUCUGUGAUUCCAAACAACCAGGCUACUAUUUGGAUUCCACCAAGAUUUGGUUUUGUUAAGAUAAAUGUGGACAUAACAUUUUCUGGACCUACAGAUCCUAUUGGCAUUGGUUAUCUAAUAAGGGAUUUCAAUGGCACCUUCAUAAUUGCAGGCAAUGAAUCAGGAACUGCAGCUACAUCUGACGAGGCUGAAUGCAGAGGCAUUAAAGCAGCAGUCACCAAAGGGAUCCAAAUGAAACUGAAAUUCGUCGAAGUGGAGACGGAUAACAAGAGUGUUGCUGAGUACUUGCAGGGAAAAAAAAAAAAUUUGUCAUGGCCAGCAACAGUGAUACUGGAUCAGACAAAACAACUUUCUGCUUUAUUUAAUUCUGUUUCUUUCAUUUUCUGUAAAAUGGCAGGAAACGGCGCAGCUCAUAUUUUGGCUUCUCAUGCAAAUAUUAGCUCGUCAGUUUCUUGUUCCUUGACUUCUCCUCCAGCUUGGCUUUCAGACCAGCUAAAACUUGAUAGUUUGAUCUGUAAUCUGUAUUCUGGUUAGGCUUUUAAUAUAUCAUGACUAUUAAAAAAAAAAAAAAAAAAAAAAAAGUACACCAUACAACAACAGCAAUGCAGCAGUAGCGUGCAAGCAGUAAAUGAGCAGCUCCGUAAUUCUGCACUCUUUCUUCUCCAUUGCUCUAAUUUUUGUCAGAUCCAACCAUGAUAAAAGCGUCACUUUGAUAGUUGUGUUAUAUGGACACCUUUUUGUUUUGUUUUUGUAUUGUUGGAAUGAAUGUUAUAUGUAAUGCAGUUGUUUGAGUCUAACAGCAGCUACACCAAGCACCAUUACAUCCAUUUUAUUACAGUAGCGUAUUCUUGUAUCUGACUAUCAGUAUGCUAUGUACUGUUUUGUUCCUUUGACAACCAAUAAAAUGUUGCUUAUAAAAUGUCUAUAUCAUUGCUUAAAUUACUUGUACACACUCCCCACACCAUAUACAUGGCAAUGUUGCCUCAUUGAUGAGUGGAGAGUGCUCACAAGUCACAGUUUACUAACCAUUUAUAAUUUGUUUCGCUCUUUUUUAAUUGGCAUUUUGUCAAAGAAAAAAUUUAGUGCACGGAAACUAAUACAAGGACGGUGGAUACGAUGUUAGCGUACUAAAAAUGACAAAGCAAGUAAUAAAGAAGUAAACCUACUUAACAACAACAAAUAAUAGAGAAAGACACCAAUAUAACGUGGUUCGGUUUGAUUGCCUACGUCCACGGAUAAACAAAUAGAACUUUUACUAUUGGAGAGAUAGUACAAACCUCUCAAACAAAUGGAGAAACCUUAGGUUUUCUCCCUUAUCAAAUCCUCACCAAAUCUCUCAAAGAGACAAUCACAAAUUGAGGAUACAAACUCUCUCUCACACUUGGAUGAAAACGAUUUCAAACCCUCACAAAGAACCCAAAGUGUUCUUCUACACAAAAGUUCAUUGUAACUCUCUAAUGGUUUCUAAAAGAUCUCUCUUACCUUCAAUUAAAGUUUUCCAACAUAAUUAGGUUUUAUAUCAUAGCCUUACAAGUUUACCAUGUCAUGGGCCUAAAUUGGGCCCAUUGUCACUUUACCAACAACUCAGAUCGUCCAGAGGCAAAAAUCCUAUCAGAACGGCAGCUUCAGUGGCAAUAUUUCUGACAAUUCCAUACUUAGCCAGAAAUCUCUGCCGAUGCAUUUUCCUGUCAGAACUUUGGAGGCGUUUUUCCACCAAAAUACUUAUCUCCAGAGACUGUGCCAUAUACCAUUGAAAGGCUCAGGAACUCUACUUUCCAACCCAAGAAACGGAUCUGGAUUACGACGAUCGAGCAUAAAGAUAUGGUUGCUUUCCCACAGCCAUACAAAAAAAAACCCAACAAUUCUCCACCUCGGCAAAGAUUCAAUAAAUCUAAGCCGACACCAAGAACAAAAACAAGUCCUAAUCUCCCACACAUGUCCCGAAGGACCAAAACAGUUGCACCACCUCAUGGUUGCCUACGUACCCUUCUCCUAAGGGAUCAAGCCAUCGUAGUUCACUCCAAUGGCAUCUAUACGAUGCAUACUAUACCCCAAAAGGUCAAAUUCUCACAAGGGGCCAAAUCAAACAAAAUGCCCACCAAUGCCCUAUAGGGCUCACAAACAACUUUAACACAAUGGGGUCCAAGCUACCAAAUACCAUCUCCACCUAUAAUCAUAUGAUCACCUGUCUAAUCAUAUACUACAUAACACUAAAUGCAAUAAAACUAUACCCUACCCAAAUGAACUCUUAUUGGAAUGCGAGCUUAUGCAACCGUAUGAUCAAAUCUUAUAAUCACAUUUAGUUGGUAUGAUCAGACUUCUAAUCACAUUUAUUUGUUAUGAUCACACAUAAAUGACAACACAACUAUGUAUGAUAAUACAUAUAAUUAAUCACAUUUAUUUGUUAUCAUGAUAAAACCUGUAAUCAAAUUUAUUUGUUGUGAUCAUAGUCCUGAUCACAUAUAAAUAUUUUAUGAUUAUCAUGAGUAUAAUUACAAUUCUGAUCACAUAAAUCAAAGGGACAAGUGUGUAUGAUCACACGUAUAAUCAUAAUAACAAUCACAUGUAUACAGGGGCUAAAUUAGAAUUUUGAAAAAGUGUGACUAUAUGAUUAUAGAUCUAAUCAUAAACAUUUGUCCUUUUGACAAAGUCAAAAUUCGAUUUUGUCCUUUUGAUAAGUUAUUAACAUGCGUUUGUCCUUUUGACAUCGACAAUUCAAAGUUUGUCCUUUUAGCCAAAAAAAGUUGGAAUAAGGCCUUACGGUCUAAUUCUUUGGAAAAAAAAAAUCUCAAGAAUAACACUAUAAAAAACAACAUCCCACUAAGUAGGCUUGACCACGACCAGGACCAGGCCCUUGGUCCACCGACUAAUGGCGGCGGUGAUCAGGGAAAGUACUAAAGUGAUUCAAUAGCAACCACUUUUUAGUUUUUACGCUUGGAAGGGGAUUCCUGUGAAACCCUAUAAAAUUUAUCGAUAAUUGCAGAUAAAUUUUUUACGUUUCUGGUUUUACACUGUGUUUAACCAGAAAAAGAGGAUGAAAAAGUGUACCAGAAAGAACCAGAACAAGUGGAUGAUGAGGACAUAUAUGAGAAAAAACCAGAAGAAGAAGUGGAUGAAGAACAAGUGUAAGGGAAAACAAGCAAUAAUAGAAGUUAGAGAUUAGAAUGAAUUGCCUCAAGAUAUUCUUAUAAUGAUAUUUAGUAAACUAGAUUGCAUCUGUUUGUUUAAAACAAGUUAUGUAGUUUGUCAAUGGUGGCGAUCAGUUUCUAGACUUAUGGUGUUUUGGAUGGGAGAUGGAUAUUUUUGAUUUAUGCAAGCUUAAAUGUGUGUUUGUUUAAAAUGCUGAAUUCUGAAUGCUAGAUACUGAAUACUGGAUGCUGAAGACUGAAUGCUGAAAAAGUUGUUUGUUUAUCAUUUUUUAAAACUUCUGUUUUACAAUUGAUGAACUUAAAUUUGACAAAUUUAUCCUCCUUUAUUCUAGUCUUUGGAUGCAUCUUAAUGAAACUGAAAUUUUAAAUUUGAAAAACAUGAAUUUGAAGUAUUUGCGAAAAAAAUGACAUCAUGAAAUAAUAAUUGAACAUUUAAGAAAUACUUAUAUAGAAAACAUAGUUAUAAAAAUCAAACAAAAUAAAAACAUAUUAAAAAUUCGAGACAAUUAGUUGCAUUUAUAUACAUCAUUUUUAUUUUUAUAAUAAUUAAACCCAAUGCAUAUGAUAUAACUAAUAGAUUAUCAUAAAAAGAACACAUAUGAAUGGAUCUUUCAUAACUAAGGACUAUUAUUGGCUUAUGUGGUGCACAUUCAUCCACAAUCUACAAAUAGAUAGGGCAUUAUUUUAUGAAGGUCAAAUGCACACAAAAGUUUUUUUAAUCAUCGUUCUUUUUUCCCAUUCACCUAACUUUCAAAGUUCCAAUCCAUAACCCCUUCUUAACCUGUAAAUUUUUCUAAAAGAUAUUAUUGGUUUUUUCAUUCCCCAUCACCUCAUUACAGCUGGUUCAGAUAUGAUGUCUCCCACUUUAAUUAUAAUAGUUAAUUAACAAUUUGGUUAACCAAACCAAAAAGGCCAAAAAAACAUAUAUUAGGACAAAUAGUUCGACACAUGUAUGUAUGACAAAUAAACGUGAACAAUGCAAACAAAAGUUUAUAAAAGAUGAUGAACUAGGUUAUAUACAUUUACCUACCAUAUAUAUUUGAUUUAAAAUCUAAAUAUAAAAGAAAAGUUUAAUUAAGAACAUGUGCAUCACAUGUUGAUGAUCAAUUGUUAUAUGUUUCUCCUAUGACUCUAUGUCUCAUAAUAAUAAUCUAACUUUCUAGACACCCUGUUCUCCCAUGUGGAUUCCGUACCCACUGCAUUAUCAAUCCAAAUUUCAAAAAUCCCAUUACUAGAUUUAGAUUUAAAUAUGUCACCUUCCUCAACCCUUUUUCUUUCCCUGCUUAUUAUAAUUCAACACGUCUUCCAAAAGUUAUCAUUACAGAAGUUGCUAUAACUCAUCUGUCAAUUAUAUUAUUCUAAAAAAAAAAAAUUAGAGUACUGUAUAUUAUUUUUUUUUCAACAACCUUUAAACAUGAAAUGAUAUAAGUUUUCCAUGAUAUUAUUCCGAAUGAUGACAUGCAAUUUCAAAGCAAUUACACCUCAUUCAUGUGUAUGCAAAAAUUCAUCAGCAAGGUAUGAAACCGGCUCUAAGUUGUUUGACAUCAAUUUUGUGACAUUGGUCGUCCAUGGUUAUUUCGCAUUGAGUUCAUUGUUAAGAAAACCUUGUUGUACGCGUGUCAUCCUGUGACCUUGUCUUCGCGUCUUGUGUCAAGUAUGGUUUUUGGUUCAGGACGUACGUACCUUGUUAGGACGUACGUACCUUGUUAGGACGUACGUACGUCAGGUUAGGCAGCAAAACUUUCAUCAUGUUAAACAUACGUACCAUGUUAGGGCGUACGUACGUAUGGUUAGUCAGCAAGAUAGUUUUUGGUCUGGACGUACGUACCUUGUUAGGACGUUCGUACGUCCAAGCAGUCAGCAAGCUUGUUUCGUAUGGAGACGUACGAACGUCAUUUCGACGUACGUACGUCCAAUGUGGAUUUUCUCUAUUUCGGCCCAUUUUCUGUGUUUUCCAACCCUAAGUAUAAAUAGGGUUUCUCUUCCAAAGAAUUAGUUAGUUCUUUGGCCGUCCAGUAUUCCUCUUGUUCUGGAGUUUUGGUUUAGGUUUUGGUGUUGAAAGUGUUCUUGGUUAUUGAACUCAAUUCCCUUCCUUCCCCCUUCUCUCAAUUCAUAAAUCUGUUAUCUUUGAAGUUUCAUUGUGAAUUCGGCUUCGAGUCUUCUUGUGUGUUCAUCAAGUAGUCGAGUGUCUUGUGCGUACAUCAAGGUGUUAGAGAUAACCAGGAGUAUCAACUCGCAGUGAGUGCAGGUAGUUGAUAGGUUUGUACAUCUUUUUUCAUUUAGUGGAUUAUUUGUUGUCAUCAAGGCAACCGUGGACGUUUCCCGUAUUGGGUUUUACCACGUUAAAAAUUUCUGUGUGUUAUUUACUUUCUGCGUAUUGGUUGAUUUGUUUGAAUAUUCAAUUGUUAUAUUAGCACUAUUUGUAGUUUCUCAAGGUAGAGUUUUGAACUACAAUACAACCAUUUAUUCAAUACAUUUUAACUCAGUAUAUUACGGUGUGAGCAGCAUUUUCGUCCACACAAUGUGACUAGGACAACUUGGUAACCAGUUAUGCAAUUUUUAUUGUUUCUUUUAGUUUUUCAGUCAAACAUACAGGUGGCAGCUGUAUGGAUGACAAAAUUGCUAUAUGGAUGACAAGCAGCUGUAUGGAUGACAAAAUUGCUAUAUAGAUGACAAAAUUCAAGAAACAAUAAGAGCAAAUUUUUAUUGACUUUAGACUAACCGAUAGCAAGUUUCCACUUGAGUCCACGUGGAAGAUUGUGUGGUGUACAAGCAAAUGUACCGUAAUACACCAUAUCGAAAAUGUACCGAAUAACAGCUAAAUAAAAUACAGUAUUAGAAGUAGAGCACUUUUUUUUUUUUUUUUUUGAAAAGACCCCGAAAGAGGGGGUGCGGUUUGGCAGACCCUACCUAUGUUUAAAAUUUAUCAAUAAUAUAGAACCGUGAUACGGUGGAGACCGACGUUAGGGAAAGAGAGGAAGAGAAAAAAGAAAAAAAAAAAGAUUUCACAAAAACAAAAAAAACGGACACAGAAAAUAAAAAAACAGAGAAGAAUUUUAAAAAUUGAAAAUAAGUCGGACAGACAAAAAUAAAUCAAAAAAAGUCGGGGACAAACAUGAGUUUCAGUCCCACUCAACUCUUAAAGGACCUCCUAACGUCGGUCGAAAAUUGAGGGGACUUUAGGCCUUACCUCAUACAAAUAGGGAAACAAAGACUUCCUAGUCCUGAAACCAAAGCCAAAAACAAGGGCUAAAAAAACAGAAAGCAAAACCUAAAGAAAAAAUGGAAAUUGAGAAACCAGGGGCCUGUUUAGUUGUGGAAAACUGUUUUCAAUCCAAAUAAAUAGGUCAAUAACUAAAGCAGAUCACCAGACAAACCAAUCCAAGUGGUUCACUUCACAUUUAGAAUAACUAUGAUAAGGAGAUCACAUGCAAGUUAGUAAGCUGGAUUUAUGGUGUGUGUACUAUUGGAAUUUUAAAAUUUUGAUUUCACUAGUAUGCAAAGUCUCAUAGGUGGGUUAUAUUGUACUCCAUAUUAUGUUUUCUUAGGCAAGUGCAUAUUUGUUUAAUAUUAUAUUAUACUCCAUAUUAUAUUAUGUUUAAUAUAAUAUUACUUUUUUUAUUGGGUAAUGUUAGUAUGGAUAUUUGUUUUCACUUUGUUCGAUCUGAUUUUUUUUUAUUCGAUAAAUAUUAUUUCUAUUAAAUAAGGGUUGUGCUAAAGGCACACCCACUUUACUAGAGACACACUCCCAAACAAAAAUAUAAUAACAUUUAUGUCCUUAUUAAGAAAAAUUAAAUACACCCAAAUUUUACUUGGAGAAACUUGCUAUAGCAGGUCACUUAUUCUAAAAGGGGUGUGCCCACCGUUAAACUUUUAUUAUCAUUAUUAACAUCUAUUUUACUUCAAUUUCUUCGUUCAAAAAGGGGUGUGCCAUUUUACAACCACCAUUAAAUUUUUUUUUUUUUUUUACUUGACCAUUAAUGAAAGUAGUGAUUAUGAUGAAUUCGAUAAGAAACAUGAGAAAUUAAAUAAAGCUUUUGAUGCAUUUAUCAAGGUUUUAGAAAAUUCGGAUGCUGCUCCAUUUGUUAGACUUGAUAACAAAGAAAUUAGUUGGGAAGAAUUAUAAAGUGGUAUACUAACGAGGCAACUAGAUUUGCCACCACAAGAAGAUUGGUCUGAUCUGAUAAAAAAACAUUCAUGGAAAAGUCAUGCGCCAUCAUCAAAGGUAAACUGUAAUUUUAAUGAUAUUUUCAAUUAAAACGAAGAAAAAGAGACGAUUUUUAGAUCAGCACCAUGAUGCUGAUCAUAAUACUCAAAGGUCAGCACUACAAUGCUGACCACUACAUUAAAUGGUCAACAUAUGGGCGUUGACAUGUUUAAUUGGGGUGUGCCCCUUCAAGACAUCACUAUGACACUGAUCAUUGCACGUAAUGAACAACACUACAAUGUUGAGACUACACUUAAUGGUCACCGUAGCGUAUGUGUGUUGAUAUAUUUAAUGGGGUUGUGCCCCCUUUUAAGCGAACAAUAGAGUGUUGCCCAUUGUACUCAAUGGUCAUCCCGGCAAUGCUGACUACUAAACUUAAUCGUCAGCAUAUGGGUGUUGACUUGUUUAAUUGGGGUGUGCCACCCUAAGACAACAGAACAAUGCUACCCAAUACGACACUAUGGUAUAACAACUUUACACCGGCGACUACACUCAAUGUGCAGUACCACCAUGGUGCCAUCUUGAUAAAAUUUAAUAUUAUUUUUUUUUCCAUUUUUUUUGAAUAUUUUUUUUAUGGCGUAAAUAUUCAUUUUGGACAAUUUAUUUAUAAUUGCAGGACGAAGUUUCUAGUAAUUUCAAUUCAAAAAAUCUCGAUGAAGUUCAAGAGGUUAGAAUGUCAUUAUAUUUUUGUAUUAUUAUCUCAAGUAGUAAUGUGCGUUUUUUUUUUUUUUUUCAUUUACAUUAUAGAUAUUAAUUCGUAUUUAAUUUGAAUUGCAGAAGAAGAAUCCCAGUAAUCCUAAUUCGAAGAUUUAUUAUGAAAUCGAAAAGGUUCGGAAGAAACAAACAUCAUUUUAAACAAAAAAUAUUUAAACCUUAAAAGAUAAAAUGCACUAGUCAACACCACAAUGCUGACGACUCCACGUAGUGUUAAUUUUGUAUUUCCUAAUUUUUAUGUAAAUACUAAAAUUGUAGGAUAAGGUUUCAAGUGAUUCCAUUUUUGUUCCUGAUAAUGAAUUUCCAACGAUUCUCAAUCAAUCUCAAGAGGUUUGGAUGACUUCUCAUUAUAUUUUUUUUUUAUCAAGAUUGUUCUUUUCUUUUCAGAUUGAAAAAAUAAUAUAUACAAUUUUUUUUUUUAUUCUUAUAUGUUUUGAAUUUUUUUUUCUAACCAAAACAAAUUUUAUUUAUAAAAAAUUGAGGAAUUAUACAAAGGUAGAGGACAAGGACGCUACAAACUGCGUUGCAAGCCCUGUUUGAGUAGCAAAACCAAUUCUAUGAAAUACAUAUUCAUUAAUAACAAAUAUUGGAAUGCCGUCAUCACAUUGUUAUUCAUCACUUUUUGUACCCUCCUUAGAAGUUCAACUGCUUCUAGCGCUAGAAACCCAAAAGUGUCAAAAACAAAAGGAAUGAAACAAUCCUGGUUCGCUGCACAUGCUCCUUCGUGUUUCUGUACAUUACCUGUAGCUGCAUGAAUAGCUGUUGACCCACUUCGAAAUUUCCAUUACCAAACUCCACCAUCGGAGAUGCCCCUGUGAUGUCAACACAUGCAUGUUUCUCUUCUAACCAACAGUAUAUCAAAACAUCAGUUGGGCGUAGUGUUGAUCUACCUUCUGACGGGUUUGUAAGAAAAUUGACCGGAGCCUCUUUCUUAACCUGUAUUAUUCUUGCUCGCCAUACCACAUCAUACAAUAUAUCACGCACAUGAUCGUGCCUGUAUUUAAAAUCGGGGUAAUACUUACAGUGUACAACAUGAUCCUCAAAGGCAUCCAGUAGGCUCUUCCUUUAUACAUGACAUAAAUCCCCAUCUGAGAUGGUACCGGAGAUGGCACGGUACUCCACUGCCGUUAUGCGUUGUCCUAACCCUUUCAUAGGAAUAACAAUAAGGAAGUCCUAGGCAUGUUUGGUCUGUAAGCAUUCUACCACAGCUCUCUGGCGAGCAGACAAAUCAAAAUUCCUGUCAAUACCAGUAGCAAUCUUCCUAUAGUAAGCUUCCGCCAAUGUGUGUUGGGGUUUAGGGGGGGCGGUAGCCCUUGAGGUUAGAAUACUAAGGUCGAAAUCAGGGAGAGAGAGUUGUAGCUCAGCAACUGCACUAUCAAAAGCAUCAUCCAUGUGUGCAAUACCACACCCUUGGAGUAUGUGGUCCUGAAGCUCCUGAGUUUGGCAUUGAGAGGCUGCGAACGCAAACAUCCUGACAUCUGUGGCACAAUAAAUGCCAAGACCACCAAGGCGUAAUGGCAUGGUUGUUAUGCGCAACUGGAGGUCACCAAAACCCGGACUAUCAGAAACUACGAUACCCUGAAGUGUUGCCCGAAGGAUGCGAUCAAAAUAUUAUGCCGCUUCCCGAACAAAAGUUGGUUGGCAAGUGGGAAGAGCCAAGAUAAAUUUAGGUAAUCGCAUACAUGCUCGUAGUAGUGCCAGCUCACAUUGUUGGUCUUUUAAUUCUGCCAGUAAGCUCAUCAACUUGACUAUUUUCUUAACACGUUGUCGAACAAGGCCCACAAUAGAUGAUGCAUUAGUACUAACAGCCCCUCCAAGCAACUUGACUCCACGUUGAGGACAUGAUAUACCAGUUGGAAACAGACCAGUACUAGUUGCAGCCACUUGAUCAGUGUCACCAAUCAGGGUCCCACCAUCCAAAUACCACACCUGCAAAUUCAGGUGACACUCAAAUUGGAUGUGCAGUACAAGUGGAUGCCAGACUAAGGCAAAAAGAAGAGGCCCUAACGGAUCCCCCUGUUGAAUCUCGGUUGCUGACCAAAUAUAGGUGGACCCCAGAUAUAAUCUCGCAGACUCGCUAUAUAGAUAUUCAACCCAUGGUGCAAUACUGGGGCAUUAAAUGCGUACCUCUUUUAACAUAACCGUGCGAUCAACAAGAUGAAAGCAUUUUGGAAAUCCACCAACAACAUAGAAAGGAAUGUACUAUCCUGAUUUGCAUGAACAAAUCGGUUAACCGCAUGCAACACUGCCUCUGCCCCCACCAGGCACAUCGACGCCAAAUUGAAAGUCAUUGAGGUAUGAGACCAUGUCUUAGGCAACUCCUUUCAUGGCAAUCUUGGACACUAGACGUCGCCAUACCAUGCCUACUGCGAUUAGUCGAACCCUAUUGCCAGGCUUGGGGAGAGGAGUAAGGGGUGCACUUGCAAUAAAUUCUGCUAAUACCGAUGGGCAUCGACCUUGUGACUAGAAUUUCACGAUCAAAGUCAAAACAUCCAUGAGAUCUGUACUAACAGUAGAGGCUGUACCAUUCAUAGCAUCUAGCAGGUGUUGGGCACAGAGUCCAUCACACCCACAUGAUGUACCCUUCGGAAAGGACCUGAUGCAUGCCAAUACUGCAUUCCUCUCAACAGUCAAAGGUGGCUCAGACAAUGGAGUAUUUGGUAUGGAUGGUGGUGGGCUCAUUGGGUGCUUUUCCUCUAAUGCAUGUCGCGUCUCUGAAGUGUCUGGUGCCAAUCCCGAAGAUGACAACACUUUAACUACAGCCUCAAAAUAUCCAUCUGCAACUUUUUGCAAACAACGCCUUACAUUUUGGUUACGAGAUGGUUGGAUUGAUGAUGUAGAAUGAGGACCCCAUACCAACUCUAAGAGAUGGAAGAUACCACCCGGCUCAUUCCAAAUGUUAGGGCAUGCAUGAUUUGUUUCUGUUGCAAACUCUUCCGGGUGCCAGAUCGUCGUUCGACGCGAUUCUAUGGUUCAAACACUUGUAGGGUACAACAAGGAAGCAGAAAAAGUCAAACCCAUGCUGCUACAGACCCCACGUCUGCUGUGAUUUCAUUUAAUACCUCUUUUAAUGCACACAAGAAUUCUAGACGACAUAGUCGUGGGAUACUAAUCACUGUGCGGAAGGGUGUGCGAAAAAUAUAAUCCAAUAGUACCUUAUCCAGAUACCAAGGGGCACCAGAAUGGCUAGAAUCGACAGCAGAAACUCCAAGUAGUGGGGGUGUUGACUCGAGUAACACUAAUGGACGGGGCAUACCUAGGACCACACUUUCAGGCUCUCCAUUUUCCAACAUGGGCACUGAAAUAACAAUGCCAUCCGAGUGAUGACGCUUCGUGCAUGCACACUAAAGCAGUAACCACAUAUCCAGUACUGCCUUACCACCCUCAACGAGCUGUCCAGUGAUACAAACAAAUUCGGAUCUUUGUUGGUUGCCUCACGUAGCUUUUAUUUGUUUUUUUCAUUAUACAAAUGUUUGUCUUUCAUGUGGGCAAGUAUGAAGGAUGGUGCAUAUCCAUUCCUAUGAAGGAUGAUGCAUAUCCAUUCCCACCGUGUCAAAGUGACGAAACAAACAAUGUACAUUGACCUUUGUAUUUCGAGCCUUACACAUUUUUUUCCCUUUUGGGGCUUGGCUGGCUUGAGCUGCUAGCUCAGUUGGUGUGGCUGCUGGUUCGGCUUGGCUCAAUGUACAGAGCCAGAUUUAUUGAGGGAUUUGGGAAAGAUGGAGAAGGAGAUCGAAAUCUUCGAUCUGAUCGAUAAGAUGGUGGCAACAACUGGUGAGGGAGAGGUGGUGGUGGUGGUGGGCGUUGGAGGAGGACGGGGUGUUGAUGGCGGUGGAAAGAUGGUGAUGGUGGUGGUUUGGGGAUGAGAGAAGCAGCAGCCAGACGAGGGUGGUUGAAACAGGCAGUAGGAAAGAGAGGCAGCAAUGGGGAGGGGUUAGGAGGUGGUGGUCAUGGAGGAGAUGACGGCGGCGGUAGUCAUCGGGAAGAUGACGACAAUACACUUUUCUUUUUUUUUUAAUGAUUUUGUAAGGUUUAGAUAGAUCAUACUACAUAGUGCAGACAUUAUUUUUUCUAUUUUAUUUUUUAUUUUUUUAACAAUUGCAGGAUGAGGUACUUAAUGAACUCAAUUCAAACACUCUCGACGAAUCUAAAGUUACUCCCGAUGAAUUUCAAGAGGUCUGAAUGUUAUAAAGGUGUAAUUUGCUACAUUUCCAUUUUUAUAACAAACAAAUAUCUCAAAUAGCACUAUUUAAUUUGCAGGAAGAUGUAAGAAAUGCUUCUAAUGCUUCAAGUGAACAUAUUGUCUCCGAUGUCGUCAAUGAUGAUAAUGGGUGUAGCAAUCAGAUGAUCGUUGAUUUGACAGAGUUUUUUUACCAUCGAAGAGGUUUCUAAUAGUAGGAGUGGGUUAAUUACUUGGGUCCAAAAUACUGGAAAAAAUCACAAAGUUGUUAUUACCACAGAGGUCCCAAGGUAGGAGUGGGACUAAAUCACCAAGGUUGAUCCUAAUGUGCGACCGUGGUGGAAAGUAUCGCUCUCACAAGAAAAAAUCAGACAACCAACAACUAUUUCAUCGACAGUCUGGAACUAAGAAAAUAUAAUGUCCAUUUGAAAUAAAAGCGAAAUUUGUAUUGGGAAGCCAUGAUUCCUGGAGGUUAGAGGUGGUAUGUGGUACUCACAACCAUCCACUGGCUUCAACUUUAGAAGACCAUCCCUACGCAGGAAGGUUUAAAAAGGAAGAAAUGGAUCAUGUAAUAAAGUUGACAAAGAGUGGGCUGAAGACAAAACAAGUCAUGGCGUUUAUCAGUAGAAGUUUUCCUUUGAAUACUUCUAGCCUUAAACAAGUUUACAAUGCAAGACAGAAGGUUAGGGCAAACGACAAGGGGGACUUGACUGAAAUGCAAAACUUAUUACAUAAGUUGGCUAAGGAGAUGUGUUGACCCCCUCCUUAACGAGCUCAAACCCAAGUCAAUUACAAGUCAAAGCCCAAGAAUUUAAUCAAUAAAAGCCUAAGCCCAAUUCAAUUAGUAAUAAGGCUUAGCCCCGUUACUAUAUUCAAUACAUAUCAAUCAUGGCCUUUAUCAAUAUCAAUCAUGGGCUUUAUCUAUUUAAGUCCAUUAUAUUCAAUAAGGUUAAUAUGGUAAUUCUACAUCUUUGUAGAGAUUUUUUUAACCUAAUCCAACUACAACUCCAAUCUCUACAACUCCUAAUCCAAUAACAAUUUCAAUAUCUUUACAACUCAUGUUCCUAAUAGAACAUGAGGUACAUUAUCUUGUCAUUAUAUGGUCCAAAUACAUGGGACUACAAUACUACAAUACAUUAGGGAUCAUAGGAUAGCGUCUUAAUCCCAAUCAAACUCUACAUUUGAACUACGUUAUAAAAUACUUGAUUCCAUCUCUCUUAAGGCAACUAAGAAGCAACUUAGUGCAACCAUUAUCAAUCACCAAAACCCUAUUCCCCCAUCUUCAUCUUCUCCAAUACCUUAGAUCUUAACAUUAGGGGUUUCUUCUUGAUCUUACAUCACAUUGGUGUGAAAUCCGGUUGAAACAGGAGAUAUAUUUGAUUGAUUGGUGCAGACACAGUAGUCCCGACGAAUCCCAGGAAAAUUCAAAUAAGUCUGAGGAAAAUGUUGAAAUCUCGGAGGAAACUGCUAAAAACUUUGAGGAAAUUGCUAAAAAUCCUGAGAAAAUUGCUGAGUUGUUUUGGGCACAUCCGGGUUCAGUCGAUUUCUGUAAAUUUUUCCCUAAAGUAUUCAUCAUGGAUGUGACAUACAAAAUCAAUAAGUAUCAUUGGCCAUUUCUUCAAAUUUGUUGGUGUCAAGUUUUGAUGUGUUCGAAGAAAGAAGCAAGACUUCACUUCGGCGUUGAAAAGGUUUCGACUUUUAUUAGGUGAUUUAACUCCUUCAGUUAUAGUGAUACAAAUUGCUAGGCAAAUAUAUUUUUUAGUGUGGAAUUAAACAAUAGCAGUAAAUAAGAUAAACAAAAUACAAGAUCUCGAAGAAAACUAUCUUCUUUACUGAAUAUUAUGAAGAUACAAGAAUCUCUACCUCACAAUACUCUCUAGACAAACUAAACCCUAGUUGUCUCAAUAUUUCUAAACACACUAAACCUUAGUGGUUUCUCAAAACAACUAAGUACUACUUGUUUCUCUAAACAAGCUAAAAUAAGCUAUGUUUGGUCUAUGUUUUGGGUUAUGCCAAAACAUCAGUAAACCAUUAAACCUUAGUGGUUUCUCUUGAAACAAGUAAAGACCACAUGUUUCUUUUUGUGUAUAUCUUUUGGUUUAUGCCAAAACAUAUAUUUAUAGGCCAAGGAUUUCUCUUUUCCUAAAAUUUUAUCCGUUAUGGAACAAGGAAACCUUAUUUAAGGUUUUCUUUUCCUUAUCCUACAAGGAAAAAAACUGCUAAAUUCCCAAGUAGGAUACACAUGUAUCAUGGCUUCCCCCUUUAUGAUAUUACAAUUAAUCUUAAGGGUAAUUUGGAACAAACCAAAAUUAAAGAGAGAGAGAGAAACCCAAAACACUUUGACUCUUCAUCUAUCCUCUUCAUCUUCUUUAGCAUUUCUAAGUAAAAUCUCAUCUUGUUGUUACUGUAUAUAUCAUCAAUCUCUUAGUUAUAUUUGUAGAAUUUGUUUGUUAGUGUAGAAUUACUUCAAAUAGAGUGAGAAUGGAUCUACCCAUUCAUGAAUUCCAAGAUAGAUUAAAUUGUUUACAAAAUAAAUAAAAAGUUUGAUUAAAAAAUUAAAUUUUAUUAAAAAAACGAGUAAUUUUGUUGUUCAUUCUCUAAUUUCUUUUAGUGAGAUGAAUUUUUUUAUGGAGAGAUGUUGAAGAAGAUGAGUAUUUGGUUUCUCUCUCUUGAUCUUUUUCCCUUAAAUUAAACAAGGGAAGAGAGAGAAAGAACGUGGGAGAUAUUUUUUCCCUUAAUUAUGGGUUGCUGAUGUGGCCAUACCAUGUAGAUAGACACAUCAGUUUGUGGGCUGUGUUUGUAGAAUUUGUUUGUUAGCGUAGAAUUAUUCUAUAGUAUCCAUACCUAAUCAAAAUUAUCAACCUACCUUGCUUAAUGUAUCAUAUUAAAGUAAACGUAGUUGUUAUAUAUUGUGUUGUCAAGAAUUAUCCAUGAAGGGGAAAGGUUGUUUAUCCAUGAAGGGGAAAGGUUGUUAAAUGUUACCACAAAUCAGUUCACACUUAUAUAUACCUGCACAUAAAGAAGAGAAGCUUUAGUGUGAUUCUACUAGGGGUACUAUAUACAACAUACAUGUGGCACCAUCUCUACCGUCCAUCAUGGUGCCACAUGUCAUCAUCUAAUGGACUCUCUCUCUUGAUGGCACAAGUUACAAAGUUAAAGCCAAUUACUACAAAGAUAUUCUCUCAUCAUUACCUCAUUAAAUGCUAGGAAUGGAGUUACAUUGUAGCCUAUAAAUAUGAAGGCAAACUACUCAUCUUCUCAUGGUCUCAUGGUGAAUCAUACACAAGACCUCAACACUCUCUCAUGAGACCUCACCUCUCAGGUCGCAUCUUUCUCUUGAGCUCUCUCCAUUAUCGAGCUCCUAUUUUGUAUCACCACUACUAUAAUAAAGAUCAUUCUCUCUCUCCGUGGAUGUAGGCACAAUUGCCGAACCACGUAUACAAUGGUGUUCACGUCUCUACUUUAUUAUUGUUCAUAUCAUCACCAUCAUCAUCAUUCAUUAAUGUAUUGACCAACCUCACAAAAAUGGUUAAUACAUUUGGCGCCGACUACGGGGACUUGGGAUUUUCUCAAGCGAAUUUCACCCACCAACCCCACCGAACACCAUUGUUCUAAGGUUCUUAGAUGGUGAUUUUCAAGAAAUUCAUUGAAUUUGAAAAGAUAGAAUUGCAACUCACAGUUGGGGGCUUGGAGCAAAUUGUUUAAACAAUUACUGGACUCGACAGAAGCAAGAUUCAGGUCUCUCAUCGUGACCUCUUAUUCAGGUCUCUAAGCCAACGACCUCUCAGGUCUCGACGCGACCUCUUACUCAGGUCUCUAAGCCAACGACCUCUCAGGUCUCGACGCGACCUCUUAUUCAGCUCUCUAAGCCAACGACCUCUCAGGUCUCGACGCGACCUCUUACUCAGGUCCCUAACCCAACGACCUCACCAGGUCUAUCAACGACCUUCUCAAAUUACAAGUCUUUCAACGACCUCAAGAACAUUUAUGCCAUACAGGGGACUAUUCUCACUUUAUCUAAUGAAAUUAACUUAUUAUUAGCAUAAUUAGCUAUUAAUGAUAUUUUUUGUAGCUCUCUCUAUGUGCAGGUCACAUGAACACGACCUCACUCCCCAUGAGCUAUUUUUGCACAAAUGUGCCACAUUGCUUUCACUGAACUCUCUACAAGUGAAAUGUUUGAUAUACAAUACGGCCACCCUCAUUGACUAGUGAGUCACUCGUAUGCGGGACGACCUCAAACACAAUUCUCUAGCCACACGCCUGGUCGAACGCAUUCACUCUCAACGCAAUGCAGACCCACAAAGGCCACAUGCCCGAGAAUUGUCAAACAGGUCUCCACGCUGCGACCAUUCACUAGAUCGGCACCAAAAGGUUCCAAGUAACUCUCAAAACACUUGGUCAACCAAUGCUCUUUCUCAAACGAGCUACAUGUGCACUCCAAAGUGCCACAUCUAUCGGAAUGUCCAAUCACAAGGCGACAAAGAUAGUACAUACAAAACUCAUAAGGAAGACAUACAGUUCAAUGUAAGUCUCUUACUAAAUUUUAUAAUAUUUCACAUGCUAACAUUAUCAACAAGUAUCAGGUCUAUGCAACUCGACCACAAAAAGACAACCACCCAUGUAUGCAAGAAGACCCACUUCAGUACGACCUGCUUGCAGCUGUCCAUCUCGUCUACAUGCCUUCUGAACGAGCUACCAGGUCUCCCUGGAACUAACUAGCUCGCUAUACACAAAUUCAUGAUCGAGUUGCCAUUACCACAAGGGACCUUCAUCGCGUCCUGCAAAUCUCAAUGAUCAAGCUCAUCAAAAUUUAGGGCGGAUCGACUUCGUUAAAGAACCCCAUAUUUCAUUCAUCUUGGGGGCUAGAUUGGUUCGAUUUCUUCUUUUCAGCCCGACUUUUACAGCCGACCUAAAAAGAUGGGGCUUAUGUAGGGGUACUAUAUACAACAUACAUAUGGCACCAUCUCUACCGUCCAUCAUGGUGCCACAUGUCAUCAUCUAAUGGACUCUCUCUUGAUAGCACAAGUUACAAAGUUAAAGCCAAUUACUACAAAGAUAUUCUCUCAUCAUUACCUCAUUAAAUGCUAGGAAUGGAGUUACAUUGUAGCCUAUAAAUAUGAAGGCAAACUACUCAUCUUCUCAUGGUCUCAUGGUGAAUCAUACACAAGACCUCAACACUCUCUCAUGAGACCUCACCUCUCAGGUCGCAUCUUUCUCUUGAGCUCUCUCCAUUAUCGAGCUCCCAUUUUGUAUCACCACUACUAUAAUAAACUUCGUUCUCCCUCUUCGUGGACGUAGGCACAAUUGUCGAACCACGUAUACAAUGGUGUUCACGUUUCUACUUUAUUAUUGUUCAUAUCAUCACCAUCAUCAUCAUUCAUUAAUGUAUUGACCAACCUCACAAAAAUUAUUAAUACAAUUCUGCUAUAUAUACGUCACUACAGUGUUCUUGUACCAAAAGUCCAAUUACCAAAUCUCAGAAAAAAAUCUACACCAUGUUGUAAGUUCUUAAUUAUAUUAGAGAUCCAAUAUAAGUUUAGGUAAACUUCUUGAGUCCUAAAUCCACAGUUUUACCUCAGUUUUAGGAUCUCAAGCAUAUAUAAUCAAGCAUGCAUGCAUAUAAUAAGUAAGGAUGUUCUAUUGUUUUGAAACUUGAUCUUGAUUCAUGUGUGAUAUACUGAUAUGGAUAUGAAUUGUCUAAUUAAUAAUAUAAAACAUAAUCCACUUGGUUUCAUCGUGAUCCUUAAUCAAAUAAAAUAAGGUGGGCAUUAAGUGAUACUGAGCAUUGAGCAAAAUGGAUAGUAUAGUAUAUCAUCAAAUUGAUAACUAUACUGUUACUAUGACAGUAACAACAUGUGUUAAUUUAAGCAUUUGUCUGUCGAUUCACAUUCAAAUCUGUUGUUAGAUGGAUGGAUAGUGUUUUGUACAGGUAAAAUGUAAUUUCCAGGAAAAAGACACCAAAGGCUAUCAUUAUAAAAAGACCCCAAAGUCUCAUCAGACAAUGGUAAAUAAAAAUAGAGUACAAGUUGUGGACUUUUGUGCUAGUUGAAUUAUCAAAUUGCAUGCCUGGAAUAUACCUAAAGCUAGCUGACUAGCUCUCCCAACUUCAUUUGCAUCUGAGCUUUUUGCUGCAAAUGGCGCUGUGCUUCCCUUGUGCAUCCAUGUGAAAUACCUGUUGAUUCAGAUUUCAGAACUAGCUAGGUUGAUUCUUUACUAAUUUCAAAAAGCAAUAAUAAACUGGUUCAUGUUUAAAAAAGUUAUGUAGCACCUAACCAAUAUUCUUAAUGAUUUUAUUCAUGCUUAUGACACUUGAAUACUUCAUACAUUUUUGUCUUAGUAUGAUAAAUUGCAUGCCUAAAGCACUUCAAUUUAAAACUUGGAUCUAAGUCAGCACUACUUAUCGCUUUAUCAAUAAUAAUAUAACCUAGUAUGGGUUUAGUUAACCCUAGUGGGCUCAAUCAGUUUUUCAACCAUUUUAUAGACACGUGGCAUCAUAUGAUUGGGUGUACACACCCACAUACAAGUUGGCUACACAUAAAUUUUUUUGCUAUGAUUCUAAAGACCAGCCUCUUAUACAAUUGGUAAGUUAUUAAAAUACAUUAUAUUUGUUAACUGAGAAACCCUAAUUGUCUUUAUAAUUAGCACACAAUUACCACAUAUUUACUGGUUUAAUUCCAUUUACAACAUUUACCAAAACAACAAAAAUGAUUUCAAUACUUUUGAUCCAUGCCAAAAAAAUAGUUAAUCUACUGUCCUUACUUGUUAUGGGAACAAUGUAGUUCUGUACAUCUGUGUACACUGUACACACACAUGUAUGUUUUCUAUUUUUUUUUUUUUUUUUCUGAUUUGUGUAGUUCUCCAAUUCUUGUGUUUACACACACACAAAAAGAAUAAAAAAAAUGAUUGAGUUUAUUAGGAAAUAACAGGGAUAUGAUUUAGUCUGAUUUGCCUUGAACCACUUGAGUUCAUGACUUGAAAAAAAUACAAGCAUGUGAAAAUUAUGAGUGCAUAAAAUUUGACAAAACUCAACUCUGAAUCCCUAUUCAAUAAUUGUAUAGCAUUAUCUUCCAGACAGCUAGUAAUUACUUUUUAAAUAGGACUAAACGUGAUCAUUUACUUUCCCCCAACUAAUAUACUGUAUAUUAUUAAAUAACAGUCCAUCACCCUAGAGUCUAUAUAAGCUUUAGUCAUCUUCACCAAUUCUUCACAACAACAAAGCUAUUCUUACUCCAGUAACUGAGUGUCUGAGACAAUGUCUCUCUCCCUCUUAGCCACCUCCACUGUCCCUUCAUCAUCUUUGCUAAAUGUUAACCCUCUAAGAAGUAACACAAAGAACCGAUCCACGGUUCGUGUAGGUAAGAAAGUUGCUUAUACAUCUUGUGAGCAAAAACAAAGUAAUGAAGGAGAUAGCCAUACCAUUGAUAGGCGAAAUGUACUACUUGGGUUGGGAGGACUCUAUGGUGCCUCGGCUACUAUUGGUAGUCAAGGCAAGAUCGCCAUGGGUGCCCCUGUAGCCCCACCAGAUCUCUCAAAGUGCCAACUAGCAACUGACGCUGCCAAUGGGGAACAGGUAACAUAACUACAGUAGUGCAUUUUUGCUUCAACAAGACUUCUUCACCUUCAAAAUGUACUUUUUGAAUCUAUUCAUUAUAUCUAAUUAUUUGUUUUCUUUUCGGACGAAAAAGGUGUACUGUUGCCCACCAUACAGUUCAGCAGACAUAAAGCCCUUCGUUCCUCCUAACGAUGGUAUUUUGAGAAAAAGGAAACCAGCACACAAGCUGAACCGCAAGGAGAUCGAGGACUUCAAAAGAGGCAUUCAAUUGAUGAAGGAGCUUCCAGAAACUGAUCCAUGGAGUUACUAUCAACAAGCUACUAUUCACUGCACCUACUGCAAUGGGGCUUUCGACCAAGUGGGAUUCGAGGACGUCCUUCUACAAAUUCACGGCAGCUGGCUGUUCACCCCAUGGCACAGAUACUACAUAUACUUCUGGGAGAAAAUCCUUGGGAAACUUCUCAAAGAUCCCACAUUUGCUAUCCCUUACUGGAGCUGGGACACACCUGAGGGUAUGUACAUGCCAGGAAUGUACCUAGAUCGAAACUCACCUCUGUAUGACGAUAACCGUAAUCAUAACCAUUUCACUGCUUUGAUGGAUUAUGAUUUCACAUGGGGAGCUCCAAACCCAACUCCAGAACAAGAAGAAGAGGUUAAAAUUAGAAACUUGAAAAAGAUCCAUAACAUGUUUACAGAAACCAUUGGUGCUCCAUCUCUAUUCCUUGGAGGUCCUUUAAGUGCUGGUCAAGUACCACAAGAUAUUGCUGGAGCUCUUGAGAAUCAGCAUGGUCUCCCCCAUCAAUGGACUGGCCCAGAAGCUAUACCUCGUCACGAUAUGGGUAACUUUUAUACUGCUGCACGAGAUACUAUGUUUUUUGGCCACCAUGCCAACGUUGAUCGCUUGUGGGAUAUCUAUAGUGACUUGCGUGGUAACAAGGUUGAGUUCGAUAAUCCUGAUUGGCUCGAUGCUUCCUUCAUCUUUUACGAUGAAAACAGACAAGUGGUCAACUGCAAGGUAAGAAAUUUAUUUCUUGUCAUAUAUUUACGCAUAUUUGUUUUAAUUACCUGCAACACUUACUCAGGAAUCCAUUCUUUUUCCAUUUGUUUAUAACAUAGAUUAUUUAAACCAGAUCUGUAGUGCCUGAUAUAAUUAAAAUGAUGUUGGACUUUCUUCCCCACGUCCCCAUCAUGUGACAUUUAGUUUAUGUUACUUUGAAAAUGUCCAGAACUCCGGAUCUCUUAUGCACGGGGAGGCAUAAAAAAAAUAAAAUUAUGCACAUAAGAAUGUGGUUACAAAGGGGGUCUUAAACCCUGAAUUUAAGCAUCAGUGUCCCAUCAAAUCCUUAGAAUGCAAUUUGCAUUCUUGCAUUCAACCUAAAAUAAAUCUACCUGGGGUCUGCCUAUCCCGAGCAUGCGUCUUGAAAAGAUUAUAAAUAAAUUAUACUUUCUAAUAUAGGACCAUUUAAAAAAAAAAUUAAACAAUAUAAUUAACCCUAGGAUGUCAGACUAGUCUUACCUAAAGAAAGGUUGACCCACAAUUGGGUGUAGUUUAUAGCAAAAUCUAUCAGUUGACAACUUCAGUCACAUUGAUACAGUGUACAAAUCCAUACAUGCUUAGAAUAAGAUUGCUCGGAAAUUAACCUUUUUAAUUUUAUUUAUUUGGUAGGGUGUUUCUGUUUAGUUUCAUAAGUUGACAAUUUCUAUAUACUAUUUUAAUUUGAAUUUAUGGCCUCAAGCAUUAUUGAUUUAUUUCUAUAUAUGUAUAUGAUAGGUAUCCAGUGCAUACUUUGAUGGAAGAAAUUCAAAGCAUUAGUUUAAUUUUUUGUCUCACUAGAUGGUUUCUAAUUGUUAAUCACCUCAAUUUGGUCUAUUAAUUGUUACUACUUUAUAAUUAAUUUUUUAUGUGCAAAUGUACAGGUUAGGGACUGCUUAAUCACUGAAAACCUUGGAUACACCUACACAACUGAGCGACAUGCAUGGAAGGAUAUUAAAAGAACCUACAAGAAAUUGCAGAGAGGUAAAAAGAGAUCUGCUGGAGAAGGCUUAUCUUUGAUUCCAGUCUCUGAGUUUGGAUCUGCUCCUCGUGCCCUCAACUCUACCAUCCGAGUCCUAGUCCCACGACCUAAGGUCUCUCGUUCCACAGACGAGAAAGAAGAAUUUUCAGAAGUAGUUGUUGUUGAAGGCAUCAAGUUUGGCCACGGAGAAAGUACCAAAUUUGAUGUAUACAUUGCUAAGCCAAUUGAAGGGUUAGUUGGUCCUGAUCUAGGUGAGUUAGCUGGGAGCUUUGUCAGGGUUACCCACACACACCAUAAGAAGGAUAAGGUAGAAACUACUUCAAAGAUUGAGCUCGGUGUUACCAACUUGUUGGAUGAUAUUGAGGCUGAAGCAUCAGACAGCUUGGUUGUGAGCUUGGUUCCUCAACAUGGAGAUGUGACUAUUGGUGGAGUGCGUAUUGAUCUCUUUGCGUCAGAUAUCUAGAGCCGAUUGAGAUUGUUGUAAUACUAGUCAGUUCUGAGUCAGUGUUUGCAUCUUCUAUGCUCUUUUCCUGGAAAUAAACAAGCUCAAUGUUAGUGCCAUUUUUCAGAAAUGUAGCACGUUUGAGAUGGUGUUAAUGAAAAGUCAGCUUUAUGUGAACUGGCUGCUCUAAUGAAGCUUUAAAUGAAAGAAAUUAUGCUUAUGUUCGAUGUACUAGUAUUUCUCUUCGAUUUUCAGAAUACACACUCCUUUCGUGGAAGUCGAUUUUAGGUUGCCUAAUUGAAGAAAGGGAUAGUAUCAACUGUUGUCUUGACUCUUGACCAUUGAUUUAUUAAACGGUCAUUUUUUUUCUACAUUGCAUCCAUUGGGUCUAAAAUACAUCAUGUCACAAUGGGGGUCUAUAAUGAAAAACAAAACCUACUACAACUCUACAAGAAAGAAGACAAUUUGCCAGACAACAGCUGCAAUGAAAGACCUUUUGCCAUAUGCAAGUCUUUGGCUAAAGGCCCAGCAAAUUAAAGGCACAGAUUAGAAAAAUGGCAAAUUGCAUACAUAUCUCAGCAGUAUUGUGAGAUGUGGCAAAUGGAAGCAAGCAUUUGCCACAGCUUUUGUCUGAAGCAAUAUAUGUAUGCACAACUAAAAGAGUGUAUGAGCCAGAAGCAAAACUUAAAAUAAAAAUAUAUAUAUAAGAAAUCUCAUACAUGAGAGUCAAUUUAAAAUUUUACAGCAAAUUUCUCAUCCAAUAACACAAAAUUACAACAUGUCUCCAUAAAAGGUAACGGAAAGCAGGAAGGGGAGGUCCAAUUCACUAAGUAGACUCACUCUAUGGAGGGGCAACAAAGACUGGAACCAUUUGUUGCAGCGGAGCGAAACCAUUGAUUUAUAUCUAAAUUAAGCUUUAGAAAAUAGAACUGGAGAUGCACACCCAAAAGGGUUGUGCAGAUCUCCUUAACUAAAUCACCUAAGAGGACUAGUAGUGGCAGAGACUGGUACGAACCAGAAUUACUUAGAUUGAAAUGGUUCGUCCAUAUGGCUCUAUUUAUAGCCUACAAUGGAACACUCUAGACACUCAAUUUAUUACACAACUAACUAUUUAGCUUCUGCUCUAGACCUUUUUACACUCAUUCGUUUCUAAGACAUAUCUAGAACUCUUGAUGCUUCACACACUAAUGAAAUUACAAAUUAUCAUUUUCAACAAUCCCCUGUAAUUUGGAAUUUCAUUAAUCUCACCCAAAGCUUAAUUUAGAUAUAUCCCGAAGUUGCAUUUGAGCACUGCCCCAUUUCGUUUCUUCAUCUUUGGCACGACAAGAAAACAAAGAUGAGAAAGCGAAAUGGGUGGCGCUCAAAUUCAACUUGGGGUGACGAAUUAUAUCGAAAUGAGAAAUCAAAAUUUGGGGUGAUUUAAUAAAAUUUCAAAUUACAAGGAUUGUUGAAAAGUCAAAUUUGUAAUUUUAUUAGUGUGAACCAUCUAGAGAAUUCUAGAUGUACGAAGAGUGUUCUAGAGUGGUAGUCAAAGAAUUAGUUGUGUAAUAAUUUGAAUGUCCAGAGUCUUCCAUGGAAGUGGUCAUGUAACCAGGUCCACAACUAUUUCAAUAUAAGUAAUUCUAGUUUUGAUAACUCUCUUCCACUAGAAGCUCUCUUAGGUUGUUCAGUAAGGGAGCUCUGGAUAAAUCUUUCGUGCGUGCAUCUAUAAUUCUAUUUUCCAAUGCUUAUAUUAGAUAAAAUUAUCGCUUCUACUUGCGCCCCAUCAUUAUUCCGGCCAAAAAAAGGAACCUACUUUUCAUCCUAGGAGUUUGCAGGUAUGAGAGAGAAAUCAAAUUUCCCAUCCAAUACACAAAAUUAUAACAUAUGUAUCCAUAAAAUGUCACAACAGGUCUAUGAAUGCAUCUUCUACUCCACUUUCCACAACUCAUUGACAUCUUUAAUGACCAGGGAUUCCAUGCGAUUGCGCAAGGAAGAUACUAUAAUUCAAUUUAUGGAAGAAUAUUGGAAACCUAUUCAUACUUAUAUGAAAAACAAAAUACUACACUUUGAAACAUUAGAAAGCUUAGUUUGUAAUGAUAAAUCUGCAAGAGAUACUCCUGGAAGGGAAAAAACUCAAGAAAUGAUACGAAAAAACAGUCAUCAAAGAAAAGAAAUGAGCGAAAGAAUGUAGUUGAACAAGACAGAUAUUUGAAUAUUUCAGAAGUAACUAAUGAAUCCUAGAUGACGCCACAAAAAUUGGCUGAUUGAAAGAGCCAACCAGUGCCAUAAUAUCAAGUUACCAACUAGUCCAGUACAUAUGACCAAUGUUUUUUGGCUACAGUAUCGGAUAAACAGGAGGAUCUGUCAGAUAAACAGAAGGAGGCAUCGGAAGAUGAUGUAAAUAGCGAUGCUAGAAGACAAAUUAUUUCCUGUAUUACAAAACAGGUCCUAUAAAAGCAAGGGAAUGAGGAGUGUGAACACAUUUAAUUUUGUAUAACGACAGAAAAGACCAAUAUAAAAUGAAAGGCCAAAUGGAUGUUUCAAGAUCACAAUUCCUAUUUCUGAUCAUAGUGCCAAAAUAAUUAUUACAAGUGAAAUAUCGUGUUAUAUAGCAGUUUCUCAGCUGAUAUAUAUAUUACAGAUGAAUUGAAUAAAAAAAUCCAUAAUAACUUGAACAAGAAAUGGUGACACUUACCGUUACAGACUGAGAUAAUGCAGACUUUCUUUGAAAUUUUGUUGAACACAUUUCCAAAUAAGAUUUUAUCACGAGCCCUUAUUACUCUUCAAAAAAUCGCCUCGCUUAUUACUCGGCCUCUAUUUAUAUGCAUUUAUCUUAACUAAUCUUAAAAUUUGUUUUAAAUUCAACAAAAUCGACUGACCUAUAAAUAUCACUCUUUUGGUCUAUGCUGAGUCCCAGAAUCGACAACUCUGGUGACAUACUAUGUGACUGCCUUACGCGUCGAUCAAUCCAAGUCACUAAUAUUAUUUUUUGUUUUUACUUUUCCCGAACUCUCCUAUUUUUCGUACCUUCACUUUCUCACUUCACUCAUAUUCUGCAAAGUUUUUGCCUUCUCUUCCCACAUAUAUUCUCCUAACUCCUUUUGUUUUCUCAUUUCCAUCUCUAGAGUCUUCGUACCCAAAACACUCCAUUGUCUUUUUUAGCGAAGUAAACAAACAGAUACCACUCCAAUGAACAAAUGAAGAUCGAGUAUAAACAUAAAAAUACCAAAUACAAUAUAGUCUAUUUUUAAUAUUUGCAGUUUAUGAUUUUCUGUUUAAUGUUCAAUCAAUAUAUUAUGGAGGAAGUUUUAAUUGGGAAAGAGAGGGGGAGAAUAAAAUAAAGUUGAAAUACAAGAUGAAAAUGUUAAUAUCAUCUUGUCUCAUUGUUUCUCACUCAACCCUGGUAAAUCAAUGGUAGCCUUCCUCUACUCUGACAGUCAACACUGUAAAUUUCAUCUUUUCUUUCGACAAUUUUUCAUGAUUUUUUAAUUCAGCUGCUGCCUUUUCAACACGCUGGUUGAUAUGAUCCAAUUUAUUAUUUUAAUAUUAUUAAACUGUAUACCAACAAUAAGUACCAUUUAUAGCUCGCUGAAGGUCUGGUAAGGGAAACUGAGGACUGAGGUAGCAACUCAUGACAAUGUUAGAUCAGCAACCCACCAUGGAAGGAGAUCUGUGUAUCGAAUUUUCCUUAAAUUACCAUUUAACAACAAAAAGGGAAAAAUCGUUCCAUUAGUAGAGAUAUUGGAAGAAUCUGUUUUUGGAAGAUCAAUAUGUUGGAAAAAAAAUCAAGUUUUUGAAGUAUGCUUCUGAUUAUUAAGGGCCUAUCUGAAACACUUUUGCGGAUGGGAACAAGGAACCUUUUUCAAUUCCUCCUUACUGCAACCCCACAGGCCACAACUGUCUAAUGCAUAGAAAUUCAGUACCAUGGUAGAAUAAGCUAAAAUGAGAUGUACAAAUUUUUUUUAAUCCCAUACUGAAAUCAAACUUGUUAAAACAAUAAAAUGAACAACAUUAAGAAACACAAAACUCAAUGGAAAUUUCAAAGGAAAAAAAAAAUAUAAUACAAGGCACUAAGGCAGCCACAAGUUCUUACACAAAGUAUCAUUCACAAUCUGAAAAGCAAACCAAAUGAUAAGUAAGCAUAGAGCAUAUAUUAAUCUAUAAAGGUAUACACAACUGAACAUGUAAGAGAAAAUGUUUGUGUGUUUACUUAUACUUGAAUACUUCUAGGAUCACCUCACCACAUGUUAGACAAUGUAACGGCAACGAUAAACAGACAGGGAAAAUAAGUAGUGAAAUAAUAAGGAAUAGAUUAAAGACGAUAAAAAUCAGGUACCUAGUAAAAUUGAUGUACCAAGAUGGAAUCACAUAAUCGAACCAUGGCUACAAAAAGAGCAUUGAACAAUUCGAACCUGCAUUAAAAAUUUAAUAAAUUAAUAAUAGAUAGGAAAACCUCUGUCAAUAAUAUUGAUAAUAUAAGCUGUAAUGACUCAAUGCACUUUGCAAUUUCGUUUCAUGACAUAUAUAUUGAAAACAUUAUUUUUACUCGUUAAACCACCAAAUGACUUAGAAUAGAGACCUUUAACUGCAUAAAAUCCAACUUCAAAGCAAAAAAUUUAAUUUCAAUCUUUUAUUAUAUUUGAUGAAACUAGCUCAAGAUUAAUCAAUUUGGAUAAUAUUAAAAAUUUAAACUGUUGGAAAACCUUGAUUUUAACAAAAAAAAAAGCUAGAUUUUCUAACAAAACAUCUAAUAAAUUAAUAAUUUUAUACUAUUUCACUAUUAAUUAAACUCAACUAUAUUGCAAACAAAACAUUCACAUUCAAACCAGAAAAUAAUACUUACAAGAUGUACUCCACAGUCCACAACAAGAACAAAUUUUCAGCAGCAAUGAUACGGAACUUAGAUAAAAAUUAUUACUAUAUUCCAAUUAAUGCUGGUUUGUUUCGAAAUUCGACUUGGAACACUGAAGAGGGAGUUGGUAUGUUUAAAAUUUUAGUGAGGAAGAAGAAAGAAAAGGCCAAGAGGGAAGAAGAAAAAAAAAAAAAAAAAAAAUUGUUAAUGGAGAAAUUAUUUGCUCACCGGGGGUUUUGCUCGCCACGCUCCCCAAGACCCCAACCCCCCCUCUUAAAAUGCUUCCAUGUGGUGCUGAAAUCUUUUUUUAACUUCUAUUAUUCUUUCUAACUAAUUUGCCUUUGUCUAGUUAAUUAUAAUUAAAGAAUUUUAAAGAUACCAGAUUUCUCUCUCUUUUUUCUCCAAUGAAAAAAAUAAUUCUGAACUCUCCCCUCUCUCUCUCUCUCUCAAUUCUUGGAUCACAGACUAUCAAAAAUGAGUACAACUAAUACAAAUAAAGAUUUAUGAAGAAGUAAUUAAAAUUACUAACUUCUAUUAAUUUAGUUUCACGUAGCAAUGGUAAUUUGAUUUAUAUUUUACUAAUAAUUGGUGGAUAUUAAUUUUAGUUUCACGUAGCAAUAUCAAUGAAAAAUAUUUCUAUUAACUGGAAAAAUGUACAUUUAAAUCAAGAGAUUUUUGGACAUACCCCUCGAAAUUUGAGAUACCCAUUUAAAAAAAAAUUUGAGAUACCCAUUUUAAGAUGUGGUGUUAUCAUAGCCAUCCAUCUUAAAACUAACCAACGAUUGUAAAUGUCUUUUGUCUUGAAAUGGGGUAUCUUUUUUCAAAUUGGGGUAUCUCAAAUUUUGACUUUAAAAUGGGGUUAUCCAAAAAUCUCUUAAAUCUAUUAUAGCACACCUAUAUUCAAGUUAGAAUUUGCUUUUUUUACAUCUCUUUGAGGGCACUGCCAAUGAGAGAUUUUAAGUGCAAUUUUAAAGACUUUUUACAAACUAUCCAGCCAACGGAUAGCUUUAAGGAGGUUUUAAUGUUGUCAGUUACUUAAAACUUACAACACUGACAAAGUAUAAGUUAUCUGUCAAAAAUUGUGGCGCUUAUCCACCAGAAAUUGUGACGGAUAAAAACUGUGGCAGAUAAGCUAUCCGCUACAAUUUGUGGCAGUUAGUGUUUGCCACAAAACUCUGGCAGCUAGUGUUAUCUGUCAGAAACUGUGACGGAUAAUUAUCUGAUAGAUUAAGUUUUUUUACAGAACUGCGUUGGCUCCACUAAAACCCACAGACAUGUUUUAAUGUUAAAACCCACUGCCAAUGCUGAUGAGUCAUGUAGGGGUACUACAUACUCCAACCAAUCAAAAGCAGCCACGUGGCACAAUCAUUCAUCCAUCAGGUCGCCACGAUCACUACCCGACAGCAGCUCGACCACAACAGCUCGAUCACACAAUGAGCAGCGACCUGCUUACACACACGCGCUCUCAUUCAAUGCACAGAAUAUUCUCAUCAGUUACAUAAUUAAUUCACAGGGAUGAUCCACGCGCGUUACACAUUUAAUCCUCAUUAUGAUGACGGAGAAUCUGCAAGAUCCACGAUCCACGCCUUUCUACCUUCUAUAACAACAGAACUACGAUGGCUUGAUCUCUAAGUUCAAUCCCCUCGAGCUAAGAGUACGUAGGCAAUCUCGAUCUCAACGAGGUGCAGCCACCACGACCUAAAACUCCCCCCUUUUGGUCAAGUCUCCCAGCGACCUGACCUAGUAGUGCAUUAAUCUAGAAAUAGGUUAAUACAUUUGGCGCCGACUGCAAGGAAUUCGAUAUAAUCGAAAACCCAAACCCUCCCACCCAAUAUCAAAAUCACUCAUUCGAAAUGACUACCCCAGAGUUAACUAUUCAAGAUCUGCAUGCUCAAAUCACUCUUUUGCAGGAAGAAAAUGCACGCCUAAAAGCCGCACAAACCAACCCCCAACAAGGUGAAAAUAGCGGACAUGGAGUCGUCCCCGCCGAUGAUUCCAACCAGAAAUACGAACAACUCAGCCAACAACUGGCGGAGUUCAAAGCCUCCCAGGCUCUCCUUCACCACUCCAAGAGCCACACAGCGGAGCAACUUGCUGUACAAUCUCUCCAGCAGUUCCAGGAGUCUCCUUUCUCCAAGGAGAUCCUUGAACAUGAUUUGCCGAACAAGCUGAACGCCCCCAAAUUCGACCAGUAUGCCGGAGUCGGAGAUCCAACCGACCACGUCAAGGGAUUCCGGAAGUCCCUUCCUCUGAUCAAGGAGGAUCACCUUUUGUGUUUGUUGUUCCAGUCUAGUCUCACCGGACCUGCUCUCGACUGGUUUCACCGUUUGAAAUCAGGAUCCAUCAGCUCCUUUGCAGAGCUCGAGAAGCAAUUCGUCAUCUUCUACAUCCACAACAAGAAGCGCCCAGUCACCAUCGAUUCCAUCUUCAAAGUCAAGCAGCGAGAUGGUGAGUCACUAAGCGUUUUCUUUGCUCGUUUUAAGUCUGAAUUACACUCAAUUCAGGAUUUUGCAAAGGAGCACGAGACUUUUGCAACCAUCGCGUUCACUCACGGUCUGACCCAAGGGUCCGACCUCCACAAGUCGCUAGCCAUGAAGCGACCUUCAUCCCUGGACGAGCUCUACCUAAAGGUAGAUCGUUAUAUUAAGCUGGAGGAAGCCCUCACUGGGAGGGAAAAGAAUCACGUAGUCAGCAAUGUAGAGUCUGACUCAACCAAGCGACCUCGGUCAGAUGGCAAGAGGUUCAAGGGUAAGUCGUUGCCUACUGAGCAACGAGAGUAUCACCGGUUCACACGACCAGCCAGUUAUAUUUAUGAGCGGAUCAAGCACAACCAUUGGUGCAAGAUUCCCACCUUCACACAGUUGGAGGAUACAUCUGGUCGACCGUACUGCAAAGUCCACAAGGUACGGUGUCAUCAAACAGAUGACUGUCGCGUUCUGAAACGCGCACUUCAAACAUAGGCCGAUGAAAAAAGGCUCAACAAUUGGAUCCUCGGCAGGAAUGAGGAAUCCACAGGCAAACGGGUGAGGAAGGAAUCCAGAACGCCUCCUCGUUCCCCAAAAAGAAAUCACAGCAAGGCCAGAACGGCCUCCGCGAGUCCAGCACGCAGCAGAGGGCGUAGCCUCUCCCAACGUCUAGGUCCAACAGGUGACCUACGAGACCAGAUCAACAAGAAGGUCGCAAACAAGAUUGACAGCGACAGUGAGUCGGAGAAUCAUGUCGUAUACAUGAUUUACGAAUCCGACUCCACCCCCAUAUCGAGGGACAAGAAAAGAAGGGUAGAACAUCUCCAUCAUGUCUACUCCAUAACUGGCCGAGCAGCUCGCAUCAACAUCCCUGCCCGCCAAGAGUCCGAUAUCACCUUCACCGAGGACGAUCUCAACAAGGUCGUCACUCCUCACAACGAUGCCCUUGUUGUCGAGCUGAGAAUAGCCGACUACAUCAUCAAGAGGGUACUCGUUGACCCUGGCGCAUCAUGCAACAUACUCAUGUACAGAACAUUCAAGGACAUGCGGUUGCCCGAUUCAGUUCUCAUCCUUGAUUUCACCCCUAUCUUAGGCUUCAACAGUUCAAGGGAGGAUCCUAAGGGUGAAAUUCUGCUGCCCGUCACUGUGGGCCGUAAGGAAGAUAAGGUUGUUGUGACCGCCAAGUUCAGCAUCCUUAAUAUCGCAAGCAAGUACAAUGCGAUUCUGGGUCGAAAGUGGAUCCAUGCCAUGAGAGGUGUUCCGUUAACAUACCAUCAAGUUUUCCGCUAUCCCGGACCUCAUGGGAUAAUGGAACUUCGUGGUAACCAGAACGCUGCACAGGAAUGCCAUGGCAUUAUUGAAGCUGUACCACCAUCAAAGCCAUCCACCUAUGGAGCAAAGGAUGCUGAAGCUAAAGGAAAGAGCCCAAUCUCACCAGAGGCUCAACAGGGCGACAACAAGUCAAAGAGCCCUUCCAAAGAAAAUAGUGAAGUCACCAAAUAGCAACUACAGAAGGAGCUAGCGAGCUCCCCCAAACUGAAUCUCGGGAGUACCGAUCCAGGUAUACGUGUGAACAUUGGGUCAGAGGAUGACCCGAGAUAUAUCUAUGUAGGUGCAGAGUUGAAAGAAGAUAAGUUCAAUAACUUUGUAAAUUUUCUUUCAAGUAAUAAAGAUGUUUUUGCUUGGUCGUAUAUCGAUAUGCCUGGUAUAGAUCCAUCAAUUGCAUGUCAUAAACUGCGGGUCAAUCCCAAUUAUCGACCUGUAAAGCAAAAACCAAGAAGGCUUGCUCCCAAAUUUCACGAAGCUGUCAAUGAAGAGAUCAGCAGACUUAAACAGGUCGACUUCAUCAGAGAGGUCGAUACUCCAGACUGGCUAGCCAACAUCGUACCAGUCUUAAAGAAGAAUGGGAAAACGAGAGUCUGCAUCGACUUCACAAGUUUGAAUAAAGCUUGUACUAAAGAUUCAUUCCCACUGCCACGAAUCGAUAGGCUAGUCGAUCAGACAUGCGGUUUUGAGCUACUGUCAUUCAUGGACGCAUACUCAGGGUAUAACCAGAUCCCAAUGUACGAGCCUGACCAAGAGAAGACCUCUUUCACAACAGAGCAAGGUAUUUUCUGUUACAAGGUUAUGCCAUUCGGGUUAAGGAAUGCAGGAGCAACCUAUCAAAGAUUGGUCACCAGAAUGUUCGACGACCUCCUAGGUCGAACAAUGGAAGUCUACAUUGACGACAUGCUAGUGAAGAGUGACAAAGAGCAAGAUCAUUUGUACAAUCUCGACCAGGCAUUCCAAAGAUUAAGACAAUACAGAAUGCGUCUUAAUCCAGAGAAGUGUUUGUUCGGGGUUGCAUCAGGAAAAUUCCUCGGCUACCUAGUCACCAGACGAGGCAUUGAAGCAAAUCCCGACCAGAUCAGAGCCCUGAUCGACAUGCCAAUCCCAAAAACAAAGAAACAAAUCCAGAAACUCAACGGCAUGGUGUCAGCUCUGAACAGAUUCAUCUCCAGAGCAUCAGAUAAGUGCAGACCAAUGUUUCAUAUCCUAAAGAAGGAGGCUACAUAUGAGUGGACAGAAGAAUGCGAGAAAGCCUUCAAUGAUCUUAAGGCAUAUUUGUCUACUCCACCAGUUCUCACAAGGCCCAACGAUGGAGAUGUACUUGGCGUUUACCUCGCAACAUCAGAUUUUGCGAUCAGUGCAGUACUUUUUAAAGAAGAAAACCAGGUCGAGCGACCUAUCUAUUUCACAAGCAAAGUCUUACAGCAGGCCGAAAUAAGGUACACACCUCUGGAAAAGUUAGCAUUAGCCUUACUUUAUGCUGCAUGUAAAUUCAAACCUUAUUUCCAAGCGCACACUGUAAAAGUAAUCACCGACCAGCCACUACGCCAUAUUCUUGAAAAGAAGAACAAAACAUGUCGUAUGGCUCGAUGGGCAGCUGAAUUGGGUGAUUACACUUUUGAGUUCGUUUCAUGGCAGGCCGUCAAAGGCCAGGUCGUUGCAGAUUUCUUGGUAGACUAUCCAGCAGAGGAUACCAAUUGGGAACCAGAACCUGAAACAAGGCAAGUCCAUUACAGCCCUCCUGACACAUGGCAGCUAUAUGUGGAUGGUUCCCAUAACUCCAACGGAAGUGGCAUAGGUGUUGUGUUAAUUUCUCCUGAAGGUUCACAGCUCGAGAGAUCAACUCGUCUCGAUUUCGCGACUUCCAACAAUAAGGCCGAAUACGAGGCUCUAAUCCAGGGCCUACAAAUGGCCAUCGACCUACAAGCAGUUCGCCUGAAGGUGUACAGUGACUCACAACUGGUAGUCAAUCAGAUUACCAGUAAUUACCAGAUCAAUGGGGUCCACCUAAUCAGGUAUGCUAGCAAAGCAAAGGAGCUCAUCAACAAGCUCAGUUAUUUCACGAUCGAGCACAUACCGAGAGAUGACAACAGGCAUGCUGAUUCAUUGACAUUCUUAGCAUCUAAGAUCGAGUCAGACAGACCGCGGGCUCUCACUAUAGCAAUCAGUACACAACCCGCAUAUCUAUUCAAGGAAGAAGAUGUUCAUCAAAUCUCUGAUCUACUGGAGACAACUCCAGCAGACAUCCAAGGAACCUGGAUGGAACCUUUCAUUACUUACCUUCAAACUGGUGUCCUACCAUCCAACAAAAAUGAAGCCAGUCAGCUGUUACAUAAGGUCACAAUGUACAAACUCCAUGAGGGUAAACUUUUCAGAAAGUCUGCCACUGGUUUGUUAUUACGGUGCCUAAUCCCCAAACAGGGCCAGAUGAUAUUUCAAGAAAUCCAUGAAGGGGAAUGUGGAAACCACUCCGGAGGGCGAACCUUAGCCCAUAAAGCAAUCUCCCAAGGAUACUUCUGGCCAAGAAUGAAGGAAGAUGCUAAGAAGUUCGUUCUGAAGUGUGUUAAAUGCCAAAGAUUCGCAGAUAAGCUAGCAACACCAACAUCCCAAUGAUCUCAUUAACAUCACUACACCUUGGCCAUUCCACAUGUGGGGGCUUGAUAUCAUGGGCCCCCCUAAUCAAAGAGAAGAAAUCAGAGAAGAGAUUCGUUCUAGUGGCCGUCGACUAUUUCACCAAAUGGGUGGAAGCUGUCGCACUAACCAACGUCACCCAAGCAGAUGUGCAGAGAUUCAUGUGGGAAAACAUCAUCACAAGGUUUGGCCUACCAAAAAGAAUAGUCACAGACAAUGGCACUCCGUUCGUUGGCAAAAACAUCAAGGCUUUCUACAACCUAUGGAAAAUCGAGCAUUCAAGGUCAACGCCUAGAUAUCCACAAGCCAACGGCCAGGUCGAAGCUGCAAAUCGACAGAUUCUAAACAACCUGAAGAAGAAGCUCGAAGAUCAGCAUGAUCAAUGGCCACAACAGUUGGAGAACAUCCUAUGGGCUUAUAGAACAACCCCUCGUACAUCCACUGGGAUGUCACCAUUCAGUCUAUGCUAUGGAGUUGAGGCCGUUAUUCCCACCGAGUUAACAUUUGGAACAACCAAAUCCCUUCUGGUCGAUACAGAGCUUAACGAUCAGGUCUGGUCAUUCGGAAUAGAUCUCCUCGAAGAGCGACGAAACCAUGCAGUUAUAAAGCUUGAGCAGUAUCAACAACGACUUAAGCGAGCUUAUAACAAGGGCGUACGACCUAGAUCUUUUCAACCAGGAGAACUAGUCCUAAGGAAAAUGUUCCACAACAAGAGGAAGAACAUCAUUGGCAAACUCAAUGCCAACUGGGAAGGACCUUACAUUAUCACCAAGGUUCAAAGCAACGGUUCUUAUCGUCUUCAAACACCAGAAGGAGAGAUCGUUAAGAACCCAUGGAAUGCUUAUCACUUGAAAAAGUUUUAUCAAUGAAAUGUAAGCAUCCAUUCAUUAUAUUUCAAUAUACAAACACAUUGUUGCCUUCAUCUCAGCUCAAACAUGAAUGGCUCUUAAAGGUCUACCCCCUCGACCUACAAAUUAUCAAAACUCUAGUCCCUUUGAUGAUUUUAAUUUGUUAAGUUCAAACAUCUGCAACUUAACUUGGUGCAUUGGUCAUAUCAUUCCCACGACCUCUGUACAAUCAAGCAACCAUGCACACGACCUCAUCCACCAGCAGGUCCAGCACUAUGAUUACUACUUGUUUGUAAAACUCAUACAAGCAGACAAUGUAGCAGGAAUGACAAUAAAAGGUAAAUCAUUGAAUUUUCUUUUUCUUAAGGAGAUUCUAACCAUUACAGGUAAAAGCAAAACUAAGGCAUACAAGAAGAACUGUUUCAAUUCGUCCUGCUUGCAGCCAUUCAUCUCGUCUACCUGCCUUCUGAACGAGCUACCAGGACUCCCUGAAAACUAGCUGAUCAGAAUGGCUUAAGUACAAGCUCAUCAAAUUCAAUGUUGUUCAAAUACAACUCCAACAAACAAAUUGUUUUUCAAGCACAAAAAACUCAGAGGACAGCUUAGAGGAGGACCAAAGAAGACAUACUGCAAGAACAAGGAGUGCAAGAAACAAACUUUGCACAAGGUUACCCAAUACAAGAAAGUGGGGACCUGGACUAGUUCACUGCUGCGCUGGCUGGUCGCUGGAACCUUCAACUUCCAUACAGCCACUGGCGACCUGGUCACUAGGGCCCAUCAAGGCGUCCUGAGCUGGUGCCAAAGUUUCUUCGGCCCCACCUCGCGUCUCCUCUCCCUCGGGCGACCCCAUCAAAGCUUUCUGCAGCUGCUCACAGUAGGCCUGCCACGCUGCACCAUUUUCCUGGCUUACGUUCUGCCAGUGUUCAGCAGAAGCCUUAGCAGCAGCCAAACUUUCCUUUAACUGCUCAUUAUUCUCUUUCAACACUGCGACCUGAGCAUCCCUGUCCCUCACCUUGCACUCCGCAACGGCAGCAACGUUCUUCGCCUGCUCAAGCUUCUCGUUCAUCUCCUUCAGCUCAAUCUCAGCUUGGGCACCAACUUCAGCGACCAGACGAAUUUCCUGGAAGCUCGCGUUAACCUACAAGUACAAGCAGAAUUAGGCAACGACGACUAAGAAGAAACAAAGAAAAUAACAACUAUGGCAACACUCACCAAAGCCAGAGCCGCAUUUAACUUCGAGCAGGUGACCAACAAAGUUUGAGACUUCACAGCUCGAGCAUCAGCCUCAAGAACGAUGCCCUCAUUCAAAGCCCGGGCGACGCAAGGCUCGUCAAUAGCACUGUCGUUAUCAUAUACGACAUGCCUCUCACCACGGCCGUCCAAAUAGUCGAACGGCCCAGGGCGAAACACAGAUGACACACCCUUGCCUUUCUCCAAGGGCCGAACGGCAUUCUUCCUGGACACAGUAGACAUCUUAGGAGCUUUACCAGACGGGGCAAGAGCAGGUGUCAGCACAAUAGGCCGCUCCAACAGCUUCAGGUUACCUGAAUGAGACCUUUUCUUCUGCCCAGAAAAGGCAGGCAGUUUAGGAAAUGAGGGCGGAGGAGACACAACUAGGGGGCUCGCCACUAACUCCACCGAGCGCGAGCUACCACCAACUCUCUCCUUCUCCACAGAUCGCUCCUUAUCCGACCUCCGAACAGCGCCACCAGGCCUAUCUCUCUCAGCAGGCCUCGAGCUACCACCAGCUCGUUCCUUCUCGCCAGCACGCGAGCUACCACCAGAUCGCCCAGCAUCACCUUUGUGUAUAGCAGACAUAUGGGCCUUCCUCAGUGACUUCCUCCUCUGAAGCUCGUCUUCAACGGUUUUUGGACCACCUUUAGGAAAAAAAUGCUCCUUCAGAUGGGGUAAGAGCCGUAUCUUACGCUUGUCAGACAAGAAACCAAAGCCGUUCAAAGCGGACUGCAGAUCGUUUUUCCUGACAAGAUGAUCGUCCCUGAUCGCUGCAAAAACACACAACAUAAUCAAGUCCAGAAAAAGGAAAACCAUCUACUGUCCUAAAACUAACGACCAGAAACUUACGAGCGUCACUCCUAGUCACAUGACGCAACUGGAUACUCCCCUCAAUAAUCGAACCAGUAACCAGUAUGGGAUAUUUCCACCAUGGCUCACUACUUACAGGAUAGAUCAAAGGCAAACGUUCUGGCCUAACUUGCAUGUUAUAGCCAGAAAAAUCAGCCUUCGAAGAACGUUUGAAGCAGAAGUGGUCCAAUACAUCCUUAACAGUAACGUUCCACCUAUGCAACUUAUUUAGGUCGUCAAUUACCCGCAUAUUUCUCCAGAAAUUGCCAUUCAUCUGGCAGGGGGCUCGACCAAUAGCAUUCAACAGGUCGACCACCAAAGAAGACAAUGGCAGCCUCAGCCCAGCUCGGAAUUGGGUCAAGGUAAAAACAGUCGAGAAAGGAUUUUUAGGUCGAUACUCAGCAGAUAGUAAACAAUCUCCUAAAAAUCUAAUUUCAAAAUGCUCAAUCGAGUCAAGCUCAUACCGCUUCCUAAACGCAAAGUGCCUAUUUACAUACUUAAAGUUCACUACUCUACACAUCGAGCCAUCGCCUCCUUCCAACAUCUCUUCGUCAGACGAGUCCGCCCCAUGAGAGCCGCUACUCUGGGGGCUAUCAGGCUCCACACCAUGAAUGGCCAACAAAGGUUCAGAAUGAGUCUCUUCAGACUCAUAUUCCUCACCACCACCACCACUCAAAUUAUCAUUUUGAGAAUCACUCAAGUCAGACAUUUCUCUUAAACAACAGAAAUGAAAACAGAAGAUGAAAGAAAAAGAAAGAGAAGAAAACUAACCUCACGAGCUCUCAAAGUUCUUCAGAUCGCAAGAGUAAAGCGGCAGCAAUUCAAAUAAAGGCGAGAUAAGUAAACCCUUCUCAACAAAGCUACAAUUUAAAUACUGCAGCUCGUACAAUCCCAGCCAUCAGUUCGAAAAAGGUGAACGGCUGAGAUCAAACAGACGAUCCACUUCCAUUGCAGUUAUUUUCCACUUCAUAAAAAAUCACAUCCACCGUCGGAUCAACCCACGUGCCACGCAACAACUAUAUCAGGCAAAACGUGCGCCAGUUGCCAUAACUGCUCGAGGAAAAUCUUCCACUUCCCCGUAAGAGCGCCAUGAUUAGUACAGACAAGCCUGCAUGAACGCCACGUCAGCAAAUUCAAAAGCAAACUACAAAUCAGCAUUGAUAAGAGUCCUUAGUCUUUUCAGCCCGACUUCUACAGCCGACCUAAAAAGAGGGGGCUUAUGUAGGGGUACUACAUACUCCAACCAAUCAAAAGCAGCCACGUGGUACAAUCAUUCAUCCAUCAGGUCGCCACGAUCACUACCUGACAGCAGCUCGACCACAACAGCUCGAUCACACAAUGAGCAGCGACCUGCUUACACACGCGCGCUCUCAUUCAAUGCACAGAAUAUUCUCAUCAGUUACAUAUUUAAUUCACAGGGAUGAUCCACGCGUUACACAUUUAAUCCUCAUUAUGAUGACGGAGAAUCUGCAAGAUCCACGAUCCACGCCAUUCUACCUUCUAUAAGAACAGAACUACGAUGGCUUGAUCUCUAAGUUCAAUCCCCUCGAGCUAAGAGUACGUAGGCAAUCUCGAUCUCAACGAGGUGCAGCCACCACGACCUAAAACUCCCCCCUUUUGGUCAAGUCUCCCAGCGACCUGACCUAGUAGUGCAUUAAUCUAGAAAUAGGUUAAUACAAGUCACCUAACUUUUUUCUGAUAAAAGUCUAGGUGGCACUUUUAACAUUGGCAUUGCUCCUGAUUAUGUAACUUUCAAUUCUUUUAAAUAUGAGCUAAAAGUAGUCUUUUAAUUAGAACGAUUUAGAGAUACACCCGGGAAAGUUAGAACUCUUUGAGAUACCUCCAAAUUUAAAAACCAUUAGAGAUAUAUUGACAUUUUAAAUCGUCAAACCAACCAGUCUAACUUUGAUAUUGGCCAAAAUACCCUUCACUCAAUUUUAUUUUUAUCCUAAUCAUCCAACACAUACAUUAUAUAUGCCACAUCAUCUAAUCCUUAGAUAUAAUCCUAACCAUUCAUCAAGAUUUAAAUUUUAAAUCUAAUCUUAUGGUAUGAAACAACUUCUUCUUCUUCUACCUUUCUCAAAUUAAAAAACCCAAUUUCUUCUACUACUUUUCUUCAAUUCAACAACAAGAUACCAAAUAAACAAUCUCUAAUUACUAAAAUUCCAUUGGUUGAUGGGUUGAAAGUGAUUUGAAUUUGAAGUGAAAUUGAAUGGAGUGGGGUAAUGAUUUAGAUGAAUUCGUUGUUAUCGAUGCUUAAGAACCACACCACUACCACCACCACUUCUAUUACCAUAACUACCAGUCUACCACCACCUCCUGACCUUCAUAACCACCACGGCACCACCAUACAUAUAACCUCCACCACGACCAGCAACAGCAACACCACCUCCAACAAACCUAUUUCUAUUUCAAACAUAACCAGCACCACAACUUCCUAACCUCCACUUGAACCUACAUCUGUUGCAACUUCCCCAUCAUCUUCUUCUUCUUUGAGUUCUUCAUCUUUGUGUGCUUUUACAAUACCUCACCACCCCCAUUAGACCUAUUAAUUAACAAAAAUUAGGUCCACCACCAUCUCCUCCGGCGGCAAAAAUAGUUCUACCACCACCAUUGAAAGGAAGAAAAUCAACAAUUGAGAGAGAGAAGAAUACAGUGGAAGGAGAUAUUGACAUCAUCAAUAAUUUCUUUUUGUUGUUGUUGUUCUUUUUUUUCUUCUUCAUCUUCACUUUACAAUGGUUUGAUUUUUUAGGUUUUGAUUAGAUUAGAUAGACGGUUCUGAUCUAAUGGGUAUGGUUAUAGUUAAGUUUUAUUGGGUGUUGAUAACAUUUAAUUAUGUUAAAGGUUUUGGUUACAUUGUAUACUAGUUUAGUUUAGUUUAGUUUAGUUUAGUUUAGUUGAGAAGAAGGCUAUUGUAUCUCUUUUAUCUCUGGCUGGCUCUGCAUUCUUUAGUCAUCAUUUGUUACAGUUUAUAUUAU